rnacentral:lncRNA from 1 species
UCAUUCCAUCCUCCUGGCCGUUCAUGGUCUGGGGGCUGGACAUCGUCGGCAAGUUGCCGAGAGCAGUUGGCGGCUAUGAGUACUUGCUCGUGGCCGUUGACAAGUUCUCCAAGUGGGUGGAAGUGGAACCAGUGCGGAAGGUGACCGCUCAGGCGGGCAUCAAGUUCUUCAAGGGCAUUAUGUGCCGGUUCGGUGUGCCUAACGGCAUCAUCACUGAUAAUGGCACACAAUUUACGAGCGCCGUGUUCCAAGCCUACUGUGAGGACAUGGGCACCAAGAUCCACUUCGCCUCUGUUGCUCACCCGAGGACCAACGGACAAGCGGAGAGGGCCAACGCAGAUGUGCUGUGGGGGCUCAAGACGAGAACCUUUGACAAGUUCAAAGGCCACGGGAAGCACUGGAUUGAAGAACUCCAGCCCGUUCUGUGGUCGAUCAGGACCACACCUAGCCGGGCAACAGGUGAAACUCCGUGCGCCCUUGUCUACGGGGCAGAAGCGGUGCUGCCCCUCGAGCUCAAGCAUAGCCAACACGAGAAGAGGGUUGACGAUCUUCACUUCAUCGAAGAACUUCGAUGCCGGGCUGCUGACGAGCUGCACGCUAUCAACAGGGGCUCCGCCCUUAUCACGACAGGCGAGUCCGUAACCGGGAGCUCGAGGUCGGAGACCUUGUCCUGCACCGGAUACAAGGAACGAAGGCCGAGAAGAAGUUGACUCCGAAAUGGGAGGGCCCCUUCCGGGUAGUGUAGGUGACCAGGCCGGGGGCUGUCCGGCUGGAAACCGAAGAGGGCUUGCCGGUGCAAAACAGUUGGAAUCUUGAGCACUUGCGCAAGUUCUACCCGUGAAGCGGCGGAGCCUGACCCACGGGUGAUGUUGCUGCAACAUGCCUCUCGAACUAGUGUAGCCGGGCAACCCCUUAUUGUAAUCUGCUAGUUUCUAUGAAUAAAGUUAAGUAUUUCCUCUGCAUUUCAAGUUGUCUCGUUAUUGCAUGUUCUUUCUUCUGUCUCCUGCUCUAGGUGCACAGAAGUUUCUUUCCAUCCUUGGCUGUGAGUAAAGGGCUGUCGGAGCCUCGAAAACAAAAAUCCGUUGCCGGAUCACUCCGGCACGGGGCCGUGCCGUUGCCGGGUUCCCCGCAACGCGCACCACGCAACAGCUGCGUCUUGGGAAUGAAAGAGUGCUCACACCCAAGUUUGGUAUCGACUCUUCUGUGCCCGAGGGCUGAGAGACAGGAGGGCUAUCUGUGCUGUACCUUUUUUCGUGCAUUUUGAAUUUUUUUUUGCAGCAUCUCGGGCUUGGUAAGAAUCUGACAUGCAGGAUGAGAAUAGAAAUUAGACGCAUUGUGAUACUCGUGGAGUACUCACGGGCCGUGUCGUCUAGCGGGUAGCCACUGGUGCGUGGCGACCGCUUCAAGGCUCUUACCACAAGAGGGUGUCGCCGCGUGUGCCGCGGUAGCUCGGCGCGCGUGGCGACGGGAUUCUCCACUGUGCCUAUAAAAGGACAUGGUGGCCACGGGGCAACUCAAGACAAAGCUAAGAGGAUGGAGAGUGACGCAGUAGAGAAGCGGUGGUGGUGCAUUCCUCUGCGCGCAACCGCCAAAGGUGUUCCCACCAUCGCUUCCCUGCUACAUCACUCCUCCAGGCAUUUCCAAGGCGAGGGUUGCCGCAGAGACGCGAUGGUGGUGCAUGCCAUCAGUGCUUAUCGUCGAUGGGUGCAUUGCCAUCGUGCUCCUUGCCGCAUCCCUCCAGCAGGCGUCCCAAGUGCUACAUCACUCCUCUGGGCAUUUCCAAGGCAAGGGUUGCCGCAGAGACGCUGUGGUGGUGCAUGCCAUUAGUGCUCAGUGACAACGGGUGCACUGCCACAGCGCCCUUUCCGCAUCCCUCCAGCAGGCGUUCCAAGUGCGGAACCGAUACGUUCGACAAGAGAACAGACAGCUAAGUGCAUUAUCUUAGGCGCCUAGCUUACUAAUCUCGACGCUGGCUCGUUGGUGUGGGUCGGGUCUUGCGUGCGGCUGGAGUGUUAGAAGGAUGCUUGCGGGGGGAGUGCGCUCCUCAUGUGGUUUGCGGGUCCGUCCCGUAGACGCGUGCUUGGGAGUACCUAACCCGCAAGUGGAGUGGCUCGCCGCUGCUACUUAACCCUAGGUUAGCACUGCGGGUCCAUCCCGGGUCCCUGGUCUGGUUAAGUGAGUAGCGUGUGAGUCCCCAACAACACAAAGCAUAACACAUAAGGACAGGAAGGUCCACCCCACGAGUCAACUUCAGGAACAAGUACCAAGUAGAACCAGAAAGCAAAAUUUCUAAAAGUAGCGAAUGAUUAUAUGGGCUAAUAAAACCAUAAUUGUUCAACGGCGCCAAGCGCCACUUGCAGGAAACAAAGGUAAAACAAAGGCUAGCAGGUGACUACGACGACUGGUUGCCGGGGUCUUCCGCUGAGGGCUGCGGCUCCGGCUUCCUCUACAUCCGCUCCACCACUUCAUCGAUGAACUUGCCCACUGCCUUGGUGUGGGAGAGACCGUCCUCGCUGUCCGACCACGUGUCCAGCAGCGCCUCGAAAGGGAAGUCGGGAUGGUAGUAGUGCACCCGGGGGAGGAUCGUCUCGACGAUCUCCCUGGCGCACGAUGCUAUCUCCCCGUCGCAAAACUUGGUGAUCCACACGUCCAGCGCCCCAAGCUUCCCCACCAUGUCAGAGAAGAAUGGGAUCAGGGUGCUGACAUCCGUGCCGUCCACCUUCGCCGCCUGCAGCUCGAACCUCGGCAACAGCUCGCACACAGCCUGGGCGAUUUCAAGCAGCUUCUCGGUCUCCUUCUGCCGCUACUCCGCCAACUUGUCGUGAUUGCUGCGAGGACACCACCGCAAGCUUGGCCUUCCGGAGGAGUUCCGUCAGCCACACGAUCUCCUUGGCCUUCCUCACGUUGUCCUCGCCAGUCUUGACGAGCUCGCCCUGGGCGGUGGUCGGCUCGGACUCGAGACGGGCGCUCCUUUCCUUGGCGAAAUUGAGCUCCCCCUCGAGUUCAAGCUCCCGGGUCCGGAACUGCUCCUGCAGCUCCUUCUCCCGCCGUGUCGACGCCGCUGCUGCGUCCUCCGCGGCCUUGGCCUGCUCCUCCAGCUUCACACGCAACGCCUGGAGUUGGGAGGAGUAGCCGCUGACCAGCUCGCACUUCUCGUUGAGGCGAGCUUGAGCUGUUGCUAGCACGUCCUCAUGCUCCUUGUUGGCCUUCUCCCGUGCCGCGGCCAGCAAGUCCAAUACUUGCUGGUGCUCGGCGCGUUGGGCUUCCAACUGCCGGUGGAGCUCCGCCUCGGGGAUGACUGGCGUUGUGGCCUCGUCCCUGGCCUGCUGGGUCUCCUCCCUUUGCCGGGAGAGCUCUUGCCGCUCCCUCUCGACGUCCCGCACUUCACCCAGCUGAAGCUUCGCGAGCUCAUGGUGCUCCCUCACCUUGUUGAACGAGGUGACGAACGCCAGUUGCUGCUCCUUGAUGGCAUCGAGGAACUGGUGCCCCGGAUCGUAGAUACUUGGGUGCCAGGUGAUUGGGUCCCAAGUCGCCCUGGCAAGGAUGUCGAGGUCUGGGCAGGAGGUAGCGGCGGACGACGAUGAGACCCCCGCUGCCAUGGUCUGGCCAUGUAGAGCAUCUUCCCCUUGCAGGUGGCCGCCUGCUGCUCCACUACCACGUCUUCCUCCACACCUGCGCCCGUGGGUUGCGGGUCUGGUGGAGGGGCCGCGCCCCCGGCAGGAGUCGUCUCCUGCGGGGCAGCCGCGGGACCCGCGCCCCCGGCCUGCGAGGCCGGGGGCGUGCCGCCGAGCCCCACUCCGGUAGCGGCGGUGGGCGCCACCACCGUUGUGUCUGGGACGGCGGGGCUUGGCGCGGGAGCCACCUCCGGCUCGUCCUCCAACUCAACGUCCUCGGCGUCAGAGGGGAGGUCGAUCACCGUACCAUCCGCCCCCGUGGUGGGCCCAUUGGGACCUGCGACAAGAGCAAAAUAAGUUACUUCAAGCCAAGCUGAGGCACCUGGCGACAAGCGCAAGGGAGUUCGGGUUGUGUACCUUGCGGGGUCGCCGCGCUUGCGGGGGGAGAUUUGUUUCCCCCUGCCCCGGCUUCUGCUGCCGGGCUGCCCCCUGCAGGCUGGGUUUCGCCGGCAAGCCAAGGUAAUCGCACGGUUAAGGGUUAACAUGCAGAAGGAGCAUGAACAGUGGAGUCAGGAAUGGGGUGUGUACCUACUGCGGGCUCCGCCUCCUCUGGGACCGGGUCGGCAGCAGGCGUAGUGGCGGCGCCUCUGGCCCUCGUGCCGAUCUGACUGGCACUAAUGCUGGCCCGGAUGCGCGGCUUCUUGCUUGGCGCAGCGGGUGUAGUGUCGGUUCUCCCCCUCUUGCCGGCUCCCCCCGAGGCGCCGUCCCUGCAAGGCAUUAACAAAGAAGCGAAUGAAUCAAGGGAAGCACAAACUUGUAAAUAAAAGGGGGAGAAAAAUGUCAGCUUAACUAGGGGGGUUGAGCUUGAGCGAGUAGCCCGUGAAGAUCCCCCGCUUGGACAGGACUGCACGUCAGUGAGGACCGACGAGCCUGCCGACAGGUACCGCACGUCGGCAGCCUCGGCACGUUGGCCGUGAUCGACAAAGCAGUCAGCCAUACCGAGAGACGCACUGCACAGAGAAAACAAGAGAGUAAGAGAGAAAUCUACCGUGGUCCUUACCACUGGAGAAAGAAGCCAUCGAUGCAUGCUUGCUGUUGUCUAUAUCCAACUGCUCCUGGCCGGCUGCUUCUCCUUCCUCUUGUACGUGCAUGCUCUUUGGUACGUGUUUGGAUCUUGGAUGCAUGUAUGAGUACAAGUAAUUCUUCUACCUCUGGCCGCUGAUGCCUUAGGCGAGUCGGGGGCGUUCUUCGCUUGCCGCCGCCUUGGGCACAGCGUCUCGCUGCCCUCUGCCUAGGACACACACGGCAGCCCUUACCUGAUGCUCGAGGCUGCUGUGCAGUGCUGCCGCCUCGGGGCGCCUCCUCUCUUCUCUGCCCCCCUUUCAAUGGAUCCCAUGGUUUGUUUAUAUAGGCAGCAUGUAGGGCAUCAUGCGCAGGCAUCAGGAAGGUCGCAAAGCCAUUUUAGAAAGACAUGAUUACCUUGCUUGAUUGGCUGUUGAUAUUUGGAUGGAAAUUAUCCUACGAUCAGGAUCCGGUACUUCCUUGCAGUUUUCUUGUGAUGUAUGUUUUCUGUCCAGUUUGAGUCGGCACGUGGCGCUCAUACGCGGACGGCCAUACGCCGAUGGUUCGACCCGCACUAAACAGGACGAUCGACCUGCCUGAUCGAUCCAGCAUUACCUAGCUCAUGUAUUUGUACUUGACCUGUUUAGCAUAAGUAUGAAAGUCUAUGCAUAGUUGUGCACCUCUGUACGCCAUUGCCUUCCUUUGCAUGUAGCUGCUUAUUGUAUUUUAUUUUGCCUCUUUUGUAGUCAAGAUAAAAUACAAGAGUUUCUCACGCCAAGGCGUAUUCAUCCCACGUGCCUAUACUUAAGAUAGUACAAAAUCACAUCCCCCCCCUCUUGGGGACCUUGGGCGCCAUGGGGAAUGUGGGUGGCGAUUAGCAUGAUGAGGGGCGCAAGGAGGAAUGGGGAUGAGGAGAAAGGACUGGGGAUGAGUGUGAGCGCGAAGCAGAUCAGACUCGACUUGGUGAAAAUAAUUCCACUAACCAAUCUUGAUGCAAAUAUUUAUUGCUACCUUGAUUUACUUUCAUGAUAGCUUGGUAAAUUAGAUGAAAGCUGGUAUGGAUAUUGAGGUAAUUUGUUGGGCCGUGUAGCAGCUACGGCACCAGACAACAAAUUAACCUUAGUCUUUUUUUAAAUCCCGUGGCGAAAUACCAUGCCACGUUUUUUUUAGGAAUUUUAUCAAUUUAGCCACGACCGUUUGGCUGCCACGAUGCCAACCGACUAGAUUGAAGGGUUUCACAGAUUCACGCUUGCCGCACUGGCUCGUUGCACUGCUCCCAUAAAAACAAGAUGCAUCAAUGUAGCAGAAGUGCCGGAAGGCCCUUGGCGGGUGGAUGUACACUGGGAUACCUUUAGUGGACUUGAUUAAAAGAGGGUGGUGUUGCCCCCUUUAUUGUUGUUGAAGAUGAGGUGCCGAGAAGCCAUCGACGAUAUUCCCCCGGUGCAUGAAUGUUAUUGACCCCGACGUUCUUGGUGUACGUUGUUGUGGAGAGUUGGAUGCCGGGAAGCCAUCGGUGAUGACAUGGACGCCGUGAUGUUGCAGUCAGAGGGAGAUGUAACCUUGGAGCAGGUUCCACGGGUGCACCAAAAUGACGAUGUUGGCUGCACCAAGGGUGAGAAAAACAUAUGCAUGCAUGAUGGUAGUGACUGCACUAAGGGUGAGAAAUUAAUAUAUGCAAGCAUGUGUAUGAUAUUAUGUAAUAAAAAUAUGCAUUAAUUUUUGUAGCUUUUUUUAUGCAUAUGUUGGCCCUUUCGCUAAUCACCAGCUAUAUGUGUGACAUUAGAAAAGGCUGCCCAAGGACUUGCUCGUUGGGAGUCGUCACAAAACCAUGACGACAAUAAUCAAGCUUUUUUUGUGUGUGUGCUCGUGUGAAGACACCGCACUUCCAUGGUGCCUCUAGAGUACUGCGGGAAUUCAUACCCUAGACUUCACAGCAUCGACUAAACCCACAGCUACCUCACGGACCCAUCAGUGCCUCAAGAACCCAGAAACCUAUGUAGGGGUGUUUAGUGGAGUGGUUAUGGGAAACGGCUAGGCAAUUUUCUGAUAGACAGCCACCCUCGUCCUUUUUCUGGUGGAUCCCUUGUCUUUCAGGCCAUCGGACUUGGUGUUGUGACUUUCUCCAUUUGUUAGGAGUGCUUUGCUUGAACUUUCUUUUGCUUUUCCCUCUUUGAGGGUUUCUUCAACUUGUUGAUCUUGAUUUUUUUUGUGAGGACUGCUCGCUUGAACUUUCUUGAGGAAUGCUUCUUUGCAUGGUUGGGGGAUCCACCUUCAAAAUUGGGAAGGCGGCCAUCCAUCUAUGUGGACUAGGCAACCCUCAUAGACAUUUUUUUUGGCUCGUGAAAUGCACACCCUGGGGGCGUCAGAAGCUACACACUGUGCCCCUCUUGUGAAGGGUCAGGUAGCCUUCUUUGCUCCUUUUCCUAUAGUUUACCCCAGGGCGCGUUGCCCCCGGGAACUCGAGACACGUCAGGAGACAUGAGAUGCGUGGGACCUCGAUGCAUUGAAGUAUCCCAAGUAUUUUUUUCCGUGUCCUUUGAAAGCACACACUUGGUACGUGCCAUAUGUUGUGGGCACAGUUGCCGCUCCAUCGAUCUUGUGUAUUUUUUUUUACUUGUUUCCUCCUUUGGUCAAGUCCCGGAGCAGCAUAAUCUUCAAUCGUUAGCUGGUGUGAUGCGGGAGAGGCCUAUCUUUGUAAGGAAUUAAUUCCGGUUUAUGCACAUAGGUGAAAUAAUGCAAUGCAUGUUAUGUUGAUUUAAAAAAAUGCAAUUGCGAAGGCUAUGUUAGACAUAGCUCUUCCCGUGGAACCUGUGCCUGGUGAAGAUAUAUCGCACACGAGUGCGACUCGAUCCAAGGACGGAUGUCCUCUCCCACAGUAAAUGCCGAGGCACCCACAGAUGUUCGCUAGCUUGUUAGCCAGCCAAUCGCAGUCAUUGCCGGCCGGCGGCACAAGCAACGAGCAGUGCACCGUUGAGUCCGCUCGCGUACUCCGACGAGCUUUGGACGCAGGUCCUGACGUGGAGAAUGCAUGACGAGCCAGCAUGGUGACCCGCGGCCCCCUUCGAGGAACGCGUCGAUGGACCAUGUGGCGACGCAGUUCUCCCUGGCGAUGUCGUCCUCGGGAGAGUUGGAAAAGUCCGAUGUGCUUCGUUGGCCUUACCUGUGCCACAGGAUGCUGAUACGUCUGUUGCAUGUGUGCAUGCAUGCAUGCACCUUCCCGCAUGCAUGCGACCUGGACUCCUAGUCACGACAAAGAAAAUAGAAACAAAUUAAGGAGCCGGUUCUCCAUGGCCGGCAAACAGCUGGAUGCUGCCGGUGAGAUGCGCUGCCAUCCCUAGCACCGACGAGCAUGACUAGCUGGCGGCGUGGGCGCGGACAACUAUCACCGUGAAAUGUCACGGGAUGCGGCUCACCGAUGACGUCUUGGAUGUCGAGCGAGAUGGCGCCUCCGCCAACAAGUGUGAAGAGGCGGCACAACCCCUGCGUGAGGUACGUCAUGCAGGCGCCUUCGUCGGGCGUGGAAUGUCUGAGCCUCAAAAAGAGAUGCCUGGCCAAAUGAGGUGAAGAGUGCGAGAUAGCCCAUUAUCGACGACAACUACGUCAGGCCGACAUACACCUUGGCCGGUCGGAGUACGGCCAAGCAUCACAAAGGGAUGCCCCGGCCAAACGAGAUGACGAGUGCGAAGUAGCCGAGCAUCGACGGCACCCCCAACGACUAGCGUGGCUAGCAGUCGACCGUCAUCGUAGCGGGGCCAGGUGAACAAGCAUGAUGAAGCGAUGCUCUGGCCCAACCAGGUAGCUAGGCAUCGGGGUCGGCGAUUCUCUUUGCCAAGAACGACAAGCAUGCUCGGCCGACGUCAUGGCUAGGCCAUGACCUCCAGUGAAUUGACGGAAUUAAACUUCACGUCAUAGGAGGAGGCAGAAGCUAGCGAGGUCCCCGCACGGCGACGGCGCCUCCGUGAGCGAGACGGACGAGAGGCAUGCCAUUGGUUGAUCUUGACGUAUGCCUCGUUCGUCCCGGUCGUUCAUCAGCCGAUCUUCGUGGCCGACCUGAAGGAGAAAAAAAACAUGAAGGAUAAAGGAGAUUCAUUAACACCCGGCCUCGCGCGUUGCCUCCGCUCGAUGUGCAAUGCAACGGCGGCCAGUGGCGCGUGUGGCCGUCUCCGAUCGGCACACUACGCGUCCUUGCAUCUUGCCUCAUACGAGCAGCGUUGCGGUCUUGCCGCCGCCUUGGGCGCGCCGUCUCGCGGCCAUGGAUGAGGCUGUUAUACCUUGCUCCAAAGAUUACCGGUGAGUCCUAGCCUGCAUACAUUAGCUCGUUGUUGCUCUAGCUGACCAUGACAGGUGAUUGAUUCAUGCAUGCAUGUAUCUGUGUUGGCGUAGAUGGAUACAUGCAAACAAGCAUGCAUCAUGUAUGCAUGUGCAAACGGCUAGCCAUGCCAAUAGACACCAGGGUUGUCGACCGACCUCGUGGAUUUGAGCCGGCUACCGACAGCUCUCGGUGGAGGCCUCACGACCGAUUGCUCGAAGCUGGCGAGCCAGAUGCGAGCAAAGGGGUGGAGAUGUGGAAUUGUCGACGGCGUGGUCGACUAAGCACGUCAACCUGCAUGCAUGCAGUUGCAGGGCUUCUUGGUGGAACCUUGGGCAUCGGUUUGGUGAAGUCAGCGUUGAUGAUGACUGCCUCGACGAUGCCGUGGAGCACGUGUGAGGCUGCAGAGCGCAUGCCGUAGCAGCUUCUUGGAGCCGUUUCCUCAUUGACGUGGUCGACCCCCGCGUCUGGCCAAGCUAGGCCAGAUGUACCCAGCAGGCGCUUGCCCGUGAUCGAUGGAUCAGGCGCGCCUUUGGUCUGACGAGCAACCGUGGCCUUGUUCUAUUCUGCAUGCUGCAAGUCUGGAAAGAGGGAUAAGAAAACGGAAAAGGAUAUACACCAUUACAUGUUGACCCUCCAUGCCUCCAAGCAGGAAGGCCUCCGGGCGAGCAUUGCAAGUGUCGGCAUAGACGCAUGCCGGACAUGCGUGACUAUGGCCAUGCCAACUCCAGUGAUGUAACCGGUGCACCACGGUGAGUUCUCGAUUUCUUGGCGGCGUGUCGGAGAGCUCCUCCGGCCAGCAUGAGGCAACGCUCUCGCUGCUUGCAUGUAAGCCAUACAUUGAGCGCGUGGUAACGGCCACCCCCAAGCAUAACGGCACAUCGGUGGAUGCACACUUGACGAGCUUCUGGUUGCCGCCUGUGGAGAGUGGAGACACCAUCACUUAGUUUUAGGCAGUUGACAUCGCCUAGCAUCGGUCUUGAGGACCAGCAACUAGUAGCCUGCAUGUACGUAUGGAUUUUUGCCGCUCCAUGUUGGUCAAGCUGGCCAGUACGAGUAGGUGCUUAUUACCGUACGAGCUUGAGGGAGAAAAAGAUUAAUGCAUCGCAGACACAUGCAUGCAUGCAGCAUGCGUAUAUAUAGGACAGAGAUAUAGAGAGAAGGCCAGCAUGUUUGCAUGUAACCCUUCAUUUAGAGCAGGAAUUGAACAAGCUCUAUGUGAAAAUAUAUGCUAUCUUGAUCUUUUGCUUACCUGUAUCUCACCGAACAUUCACAUAGUACCGAUGGUGAUGGCAAUUGUCGUCGCAGACACAUGCCCGAGGAUCGGGAGAUUUUAUCAUGUCGAGGAGACUCGACGCUUGAUGAUGGUGGAGAGUUGAAGCAUCACCCUUCGCGUGUGGACUUUGGAGGGUAGAACAUGCCCCCGGCACGUUGGACUCCUAGUCAAUGUCGAUGAAGCCGGCGUGUCUCCUUGCAAACUGGAGUUACCUGCCCCUAAAGAGCUCCACCGCUUCAUGGUACGUAGUCGAGACAUGUAGAUGCCAUCAUGGAUGUCACCCGGACGAGCGACCCAAGAUGGAUCACGGGGACUUAGAGAAGGCCCCUAGAGGCUCAAUCCUCAUGGCCUCAUCACCCAACCAUGGAUUUCACUCACCAUCUCAUACGUAGGAGAAGCUUGAAGAAGAAGAAGACGACCACUGUUGCGCAGCAAAGAUGGGAGGAGAACCAUGUCCCACCGGGCGUGCCAAUUUGUUUGACACGAAAAAUACUUAAAAAAGUAUCUCUCAUGCCCGGUGGAAAUAAAAUGCGGGCGUGCCAGUGCACCUAAAUACACAAAUAAAAUAUAGGAAAAUAUGCAUUUUAUUAUCUCACUUAGAGAAACAAAUUACAAUUUCCCUUGAUGGAGGGCUCUCCGUGGCCUGCCAGCGCGGCCAAUAUGACUUGGCCGAUUGUGGUGUCUUGGUUCACGGGGCCUCGUAAAACUCCUGCUUAAUUACUCCCGCGGAUCGAGCCGCGAGACACCUCCGAUUAAGCUGCUGAAAUGGUCGUCAUCUUCAAGUCUCAUCUUCUCCGUGUGCUUGACGUAGACGGUGGUGAUGUGGAGGUGAGUUGGAAGGGUGGAGCGGUAUGCCGCGCCCCGGUGAUGCUUAGCCGUAGACCUCCGGCUUGUCGUUGUCCGAUGAUGAAGAGAUGUCUAAGCCUCUUCGGCUUAGACGAGUGGGCGGCCUUCGCCUUGUCGGUGCUGGGCCUGGUGAUGUCAUGGUGUGGACGGGAUGACUUGCCAUCACCUCAUCGGUGCAACCAAGUAACAUACUUACUUCAUCGAAGAAGGACUAGUCGGUGGAGUAAAGCCUCGCCUCGUAGGCACUUGGACGAUGUUGGGGAUGACUGUCGGAGUAGAUAUCGGUGGCGGUGUAGACUGCGAUGUGCCAUGGUGGACGCCGUGUAUGGCGGUGUCACGAUGGACACCACGUAGAGGGACGCCCUGAGCAGUGGCGUCUAGAAGGAUACCAUGUCGGUGAAGAAUGCGCCAACCCGGGUUCCACGCAUGGCGGAACGUGAAGAGGAAACUGUCCGCAAGCCUGCGGUGACAUGUCGCCGUACUCCCUGUGGAUAUAUAUAUGCGCACAAGAAGGGUGACUCUUAUCUGCUUAGAAAAUAGUUAGAGGUUCUCAAGAGUCAUGUGCAUGUCCAACAAGGACACACGCAGGAAAUGCUUGAUGCCGUCACGUAGUGUCGUCGGCAGUGCUCUGAGCAAAGAGCACGCCAAAGCUGUGUGGUAGCUGAGCAAGAUGUCACCUCCAGCAUGAGGUGUCUGAAUGUUGAUGGCGCCUCCCUGAGGCCGGCGCCUUGGCUGCUGGCGAGCGUGACAAGACGACGUCACAGCUGCGCAAGGCCGCCGAGCAGCCAACCACGGCACCUCCGUUGCCAUCGGAAGUGUCAAGAAACACAUGGAGUGUCGCCUUCUGCACCAGCAGAUCUUGGUGACCUCAACGCGCCGGCACCGGCGGGAUGUGUGUUAGCAGGCCUGGCAACUCAGCAGCGCCCGCAUCGGUGAGGACCGAGGAGCCUGCCGAUAGGUACCGCACGUCGGCAGCCUCGGCAUGUUGGCCGUGAUCAACAAAGCAGUCAGUCGUACCGAGAGACGCACUGCACAGAGAAAACAAGAGCGUAAGAGAGAAAUCUACCGUGGUCCUUACCACUGGAGAAAGAAGCCAUCGAUGCAUGCUUGCUGUUGUCUAUAUCCAGCUGCUCCUGGCCGGCUGCUUCUCCUUCCUCUUGUACGUGUGUGCUCUUUGGUAUGUGUUUGGAUCUUGGAUGCAUGUAUGAGUACAAGUGAUUCUUCUACCUCUGGCCGGCUGAUGCCUUAGGCGAGUCGGGGGCAUUCUUUGCUUGCCGCCGCCUUGGGCACGGUGUCUCGCUGCCCUCUGCCUAGGACACGCGCGGCUGCCCUUACCUGAUGCUCGAGGCUGCUGUGCAGUGCUGCCGCCUCGGGGCGCCUCCUCUCUUCUCUGCCCCCCUUUCAAUGGAUCCCUUGGUUUGUUUAUAUAGGCAGCAUGUAGGGCAUCAUGCGCAGGCAUUAGGAAGGUCGUAAAGCCGUUUUAUAAAGACAUGAUUACCUUGCUUGAUUGGCUGUCGAUAUUUGGAUGGAAAUUAUCCUACGAUCAGGAUCCGGUACUUCCUUGCAGUUUUCUUGUGAUGUAUGUUGUUUGUCCAGUUCGAGUCGGCGCGCAGCGCUCAUACGCGGACGGCCAUACGUCGAUGGUUCGACCCGCACUAAACAGGACGAUCGACCUGCCUGAUCGAUCCAACAUUACCUAGCUCAUGUAUUUGUACUUGACCUAUUUAGCAUAAGUAUGAAAGUCUAUGCAUAGUUGUGCACCUCUGCAUGCCAUUGCCUUCCUUUGCAUGUAGUUGCUUACUGUAUUUUAUUUUGCCUCUUUUGUAGUCAAGAUAAAAUACAAGAGUUUCUCACGCCAAGGCGUAUUCAUCCCACGUGCUUAUACUUAAGAUAGUACAAAAUCACAUCCCCCCCCCCCCCUCUUGGGGACCUUGGGCGCCAUGGGGAAUGUGGGUGGCGAUUAGCAUGAUGAGGGGCGCAAGGAGGAAUGGGGAUGAGGAGGAAGGACUGGGGUCUAAGUGAUUGCCCCACAGCACAGCGAUGGGGUUUUAUGGCACCCUAGCGCUGAGCAACAGUCACAUCCGCACCCUACGGGUGAGCUGGGGAUAACUGCGUUUUAAGAGGGGAAUGCGCGACGUGGCCUUAACUACCCGCAGUUAAGGGGAAGACUAGGGCGGAAAUCUCGCCCCCACCACUCUGCCCGUAACGGCGGAGUCCCUAGAGCAGUACAUGGUCAGGAACCCGAAAUGACUUGGGACCCACGCGUCGGUUAGGGCGUAGCCCGGCAACCGACCAAGGAUGAUUUCGCCCGGGAACAGGCGUUGCCAGCCCAUGCCUGGGGGCUACUGUCGCACCAGUGGCACCUGGGGUACCACCGUUGCUCAAUGCGUGGGUCGCCUCGCUUGCUCCCCGCAAGGACGGCACCCGGGGCAGCACAGUGCGAGCUGCCCGGGAAGCCACCAGCCCGGUAGGAGCCUUGGAAGGGGGCUGCCCUGGAGCAGAACUAGCCAGGCUGCGGGGGUUACACCGGAUGACAGCGUGAAGAUCCCCGUCAGGACUCCCCCCGGGAAGCUCACUUGCCGGGGAGGGUGUCUCCUGACACAGGCACUUACAACAGGGCCGGUGCCCAGUGCAGGCAGAGUAUCGGCGCCACAUGGCCGCCCCGGCAGGCUCCUUUUGUGCAGGGCUGGUCGGAGCGUGGAGUGUGGCACAAGCUGAGCAUUAAAUGCUCCGACAGGGAGGUGGUUUCCUGUCUAGUCAACCUACAGUGAGUAGCUCGCAGUGAAUCUAGGACACCUAUCGCCCCAGCUACAGUGCGUUUUACCGUGCAUGCAUGCCAGCGCAGCAAAAAGGCAAGCUGCCUUGAGUCUUUGUUCAGCGCGUGUCCAAAAGCACGUCCCCCAUGCAGACCGAGACACCUGUGGUAUCCCCUUGGCUAUAAAAGGAGGACCGAGGCCACUGGUCAAAGGGUUGGACUCAAGCUAGGUUACGAUCCCUAGAGAUUUAGUCCAGAAGUAGUAAGCAGCCAUUUAGCAGAAAGGAAGAGAGCGCCCGGGGACUCCUCCGGCAACCUGUAAACACUUGUUCAUUGGCUAAUACAUACUCAGAAGCAGGACGUAGGGUUUACACCUCCGGGUGGCCCGAACCUGGGUAAACUGGCUUAAACAUUGCAACGCUCGUCAUUGGCCUCGCCGGCGAUCGCCGGAGCGAUCCCCAUCGCUCACUGCCGAACCUAAAAGGGGGUGCCUAGCAUCCCCGGUGUCUAAGCCCCUAGCUACGACAGAUAUGCAUGCAAGCACAUACGGGCGGCACGUUUUUUGCUCGAUCCCCCAAAUAAGUACAGCCGUGAGAUCGAAGUUGCAUGGAGAUGAUCAAUAUAUUGACCCCGAGGCAACAACUACGACACAAAUGUCUUGUAGAGACAUUUUCUUUGAGUUCAUCAGGUGUACACUCUUCGUCUCUACUAAUUUGCUGUAGAGACGAUUAUGAGACAGAGUUUCAUGUAGAGGCAGUCAUAUGAGGCGUUGUAGAAAAUGUUCUAAAUAUAGAGACACUAGUUGAGACAUUAUGGUGUAGAGACAUUUUUUGAGGCAUUUAACAGAUUGUGGCAAAAUUCAUAUAGGGUCAUUGUUUUGAGAUAUUUGAUGAAAUGACUUUAUGGUAUGGUUAGAUACACUAUUUGAGACAAAUCUUAUGUUGUGUAGAGACAUUCUUAGACUACUCAUAAUAAUUUCACUACAAGUAUGAGCAAGAAUUGGUACCAGGUUGAAAUGGUUAGGUGAGUGUGUAGUUUUUUUUAAGGUCUUGAGUUCGAUGAUUGGUUUCAACAUGAUUUUUUCAAUGUAUAUUUUCUAGUACCUGAGUAUAGAGACACAAUGUAACAUGUUUACAAAAUGUCACAUUGAAUGUAGAGACAAUAUAGUGUCUCUAUAAAAUGUCUAAAAACUAUAAAAACACGAUGAAGUGUCUUUACAAAAUGUCGUAUUCAAUGUAGAGACACUAUGUUAGUGUCUCAUUUCACAUAACGACACUGCCCGUGAAGACAGUUUUGUGACACUGCACCAAAUGUGUUUAGAGUUAUGUAGAGACAAUUACACUGUCUCUACGAACAAAAAUAAUGUCUCUGCAGUCAAUUUUUGUUGCAGUGACUAUACACCUGCAGGCCUGCAGCUAGCCAUUUGAUCGAUCCAAGUCAAUCUUAAUCGGUCUGCAUUUGAACCGAUCGGGCCUUGUCAUGUGAUGUGAGGAUGUUAAUUAAUGGGAGGAGAAGUUGCAGGGUAGGCAACUCGCGGUCCGCUGCAUGCCACACGAUCUACGGUCACCCGGUCGAGAGCGCCGCGCUUUCCACACGGUCCACCGUAUACCGGAUCGAUGUUGAUGGAUGGGGUCUAAGAUUCUACUAACACAAUACUCAGAAAAGAUCCAAACGGAGAAUAUGUUAUUCACGGCGCGCACCUCAGCACAAUACUCAGAAAAGAUCCAAACGGAGUACUAUAAUAUUCUACGUGGGACAAGCCAUGGCUGUGCGCCUGUGCCUCGCUGUAGGUCAGGUGCCUCUUCUCAAGAGGCGAUCAAUAUAAUUUUUAUUGCUCAGCCUAAUUGAUAAUGAUACGUAUAUAUAUUGCCUAAAUUUCCACACGCUUACGACUUGGGGAAACUAACGUACAUUGUGUUAACCAUCUGUACAAUUCAUGCCAUUUUCUAGAGCGAAGGAUCUCUGACAGCAAGAUUUAUAACAUUAAUUAGUUGAAGAUCAGACAGGGUUCUGGGGGAAAGAUGAUGGAAAGUUCACUCAGGGGCCCUUAGUUAGGAACCGUAUGUAUGUGUUUGUCAUGUUGAGAGGACUUAUUUCCAGAGUGCAUUCUUCAAGGAAUUAAGCAACGCCAUUUGAAUUACGGUUACAUAUGUAUGUUUUGACGUAUUUUCUUUGCAGGGAAGAUCCAGGAAAGCACGGUUAAUUAGUCGGAAGACCCAGUACCACACUGGAGCAGUUCUUCCGAGGAGUGAAUACAACCUGCACAUUUUUUAUUUAUUUUUGAGAGAAGGUGUGUAAAUUAAUCGAGAGACAAGUUACAUGCAAUCAUUCGUAACCUGGCACAUCAUGCAGGACGGCACAAAGUUACAUAACACACCUUCAACGCACACCUUACUACAGAAACUAGCGAGCUCAUGGGCUACAGAGUUGUUCUCUCUCUUAGUGAAAAAUAAAACGGAUACUACGAUCGGAAGUGGUGAAACGAAGGAUAUCACCCACAACUGAACAGAAAGCAGAACGGUUCUGUGAGGAAAAAGUGAGGACCUGAAUCAAAGAAAUACAAUCGCUUUCAACAAUAAUGGGUACAUGACACUGCUUCUCAACAGACCUUAUGGCAGAUGAAAUUUCCAGAAAUUUUGCAGUGCGUUCACGUACGUACACGUAUCCGUAUCCGGUAUCCCUAUAUAUAUAACCCACACGGCCGGCCACAUGAAUUCAUCCAUCAAGCAUUUAGCAAGAGAAAACUCAAAACUAGCUAGCAGCUGUAGACGCCCAAAAACACGAUCGAUCCAAGGCCUCCAAGACGUACUGAACAUGGCGAAGGGUACGUGAGAGCGAGCCUCCAUCCAUUUCGCAUGUUUUUCAUCCAUAUACGUGUCAACAUAUCAUAUACUCUCUCCGUCCAACAAAAGAUGUCUCAACUUUUUGUUAGACGGAGUGAGUACACAAGUUAGCUAGCUACUACCUACUUAGUAUAUUUUCUCUGAUGCAUUUCGUUUCGUAUACUCUUAUCUUCAUUACAUAUAUACAUGCAGCGAUGAAUAAACCUGUGCCUGCACUUUCACGGCCACCACCGGCACCCGGUCCCUAUGAUGAUCGAUGCCCAGGCCCAGCGUAUCCUGCGCCGCCGGAGUCCGGGAAAAAGGCGCCGUCGCCGUCUGCAGCAGGUACUUGUGCAUGGGCAACUCUCCAUCGAUCCCUUUCUUAACUACUCUGUAUUUGCACCUUUCUAUCUAUCUUUCUUUCUUGUCUCUGAUGAUUCGUUGCACCUUUUAUGGACACCUUUUGCAUUCGUGCGGUUCAUAAAUUAAGGCAAAGGGUUGAACGCUUCCGUGCCCACCCGCGGGAACAAACCUGAUGAAGCUCGUGGUGGGGGUCAGACCAAAAAGUGAGUCAACACAAGUACCAAUCUGUCCAUCAAACAUUCAUGUUAACGAAUUUAUACUUCGAAUUGAUUGUGAUUGGCUACGAAAGCACUGAAAAGUUCCCUUUCUUUUCAGGCGAUAGCGCGCAUAUCUAAGUGGUGAUGCAUGCAUGAUCGUCUACGCAUGCAUAGGCCUUGGCCAAGAAAACCAUCACACGGUUCAAUUCGUCUGUCAAUUACUACCGCGUAUUAUAUAUUCCCUGUUGAGAAAAUUUAUGUGUGUAUGAAGUGUGUAACCAGCAAAAGUAGAUCACAGACGUAGCUACAAAUUCCAAUCAAGUAGGAGUAUUUCAUUUGUUCAUGUAUGUUAAUAUUUUUCUAUAACACAUAUGUACAUAUAACAUGUAAAUAUAUGAAUUGUUCAAUUGUAUUGAAUAAAUAUUCGAUCUAUCCGGUGUUUAUUUUCUUACUCAACACGCAUGCGCGUUAACGAACUUCAGUCCAAAGACGCAUGCAGUGCUUGGAUACUUCCAACUGAAUACGUACGUUAACGAGUACUGUAACUGGCGAUGCCGACAAAACAAACACGAGCCCUACGGGUCAUCAGUUGAGCAGCUAGACUUGACUUAAUUAAGGAAGGAUCGAUGUAAGCGUACAUUCCGAUUUUCAAGAGUUAAAAAAAAUGCAAGGGAGGUUCAACAUGUACAGAUGUUAAUAAAAUGUCUAAAUUAGAGUUUCCUAAAUUAAUUUUAUAUGUUUUCGGAAAUAAUUUUGCAUGAGGAUAUAUAGGGAGUCCGAGCAGCUCCACCGCGCUUUGAUUCUGCAUCAAUCGACCGUUUCUCCCCAACAUAAAAACGCCAAAUAUAAUCCCGUCCACGACUCAAUUCAAGGAUUCAAGCACCCAACAGCAGCAGGAUACGUUCGUUACGGCCGUCACCUUCGCUGGAGACCGUCCUUUACCGGCCAAGGCAUCACCGUCAACGACCAGUCUCCGGUGACCACAAAUCAAGGCCUCUAGGAUUAUUACUGCGAUGUCAUCAGGACGCUACCUACAGGUGCCGUGGUUUUCAAAAUCUAGAGUAUAAUUUGAACUAGGUGCAAAUAUGUUUCAGUAUUAUUUUUUUGUUUAUUCGUAUUUUGUUAAUAUUUGUUUAACGGAUCCAUUUUUCUAGCCUAUUACCCCUGAUAUGUGUGGAUCGAUUGACGAAGGGGCCAGGACCCAUUCCACGUUUUGAAAAUAAGAGCUUAUCAACCCUGAUAUUUAGGGGGUUGCUAAUGUAGUAUUGGUUAUAUUUGUUCAGGAAUCCUUGUUGCAAGUAGACGGUACAAUUUCAGUAGGAUUGGUAAAAAAUUAUACUCUGAUCCUAAAUUUUUGACUCAAAUUUGCCCAAAUAUGGAUAUAUCUAUUCUUAAAAAAGCGUCUAGAUACAUGUAAUAUUUCGACAACAAUUUAGGAUCGGAAAGAGUACAGUUUACUGUUUUACUGCUGUAGAUUUUAGGUACCCACCGUAGUUUUGCAGGGUUGGUAAAAAAUUGCUUAUAUUAGAUCUUGGUUUUGCUUGUUAUGGUGGAAACGUGAGUUUCUGUGGCAAGUGAACCCCCUCCACUUCACCACCUUGAUCUCCAUCCGUCACCAUUGUAAGUCCUACAAUGAAAUUGUAGAUGACGAAUAAAUUUACAUGAAAUUUGUUACAUUAAUAAACUUUGUGCUUGCACAUACCAAUACUGUAGAUGACGAAGAUGAGCACAAAAUAACUGGAACUUGAAUAGCCCAUAGAUCUCGUCCGUCAUCACUAUAUUGGAUCUAAACUAAGUGCAACACCAGAGUGUUGAGACCAUGGCAAGAACUGUCCAAAGAAAGGACUAUGGCAACAAAAAUAAAUUGGCAUGAAGCAUGAAAUAAGCCGUUCUAAAACAAUCUCAAUUUAGAUACCACUCAGAACUAAACAGCAUGGUAACAUCUAACGACAUGGUAACAUCUGAUGACAUCAUUAGAGAGUUACAGCUACCAGGCAUGUCUAAUCAACCUCCUCUUCAGUCUCUCAUAACUAAACUCGUGUCUAACAACAGCAUUGAUGUUGAGAAGGCAAAAACUACUGACAGCAACAGAUGAAAGCAUGUAUAUCUAUCCUGGCAAAGCACCAAAUUCUAAUGGCCUGAAUAAGGCGACGAGCAGUCUUGGAACUCUGUGGCUGUGCUCGAUUCAAAAAUGGUGCGUGGAAGGACAAACUGGUCAUCAUCAAAUGAUGUAUCAUCGACGGGGUCACUGCCUCUCUGCCUCUUAACUGGACGUUCAUGCUCUGGACUGAGAGUUGGGGAACUAGGCCGGCUACAGUCAGGGGUUAGUGGUUGACGACACGCGAGAGGAUCAUCGUUAGGAGAGCUCUUUGUUAGCUCAAUUUGAUUUUUGUUGUUCUUGGUGGAACCGUGAACUCGAGAUUCAGAUGUCAGUCCGGGAGUUGAUGGGUUAGUUCUCUCGGAAUCAGGCAUUUGAUCACUUGAUGUGGCUCUGGAAGGUCCUGCAGCAGUGAUGCGCUGCUGCUCUUCAAUGAUCUUCUGGAGAUACUUGCCCUGUGCCUCGAUUCGUAGCUGCAGCUGCCUUUGCACCUGCAAGAGAUGUUUGCCAGCUCACAUUAGAACCAUAAUUUACUGUUGGUUUCUUAAGUAAACGGAAGAUUGCACAUAUUUAUACAGUCUACAUAUGUAAAUGUAAACAAACUCUUAAACAUAUUUUUAAACAGUACUCCCUCCCCAAAAUACGAGUCAUAUAAGUUUUAUCCUAAGUCAAAUAAAAGUUUGGUCAAGUUUAUACCAAAAACAAAAUCAACAUCUACAAUGCCAAAUACAUAAAUAUGAAAAUGUAUUUCAUGAUGGAUCUAUUGAUAUUGAUUUGGUAUUCUAGAUGUUCAUAUUUUUUCUAUAAACUUGGUCAAACUUAGGACAAAACUUUUAUGACUUAUAUUUUGGGUAACCAAGUGGAAGGGUACCGCAGGCUAGCAAAAUAGAGUAGGAUAAUGGCAUAGCGAGAUUUCUUCUCAUAAAUUAUUGAAGUCUUUCAGUUUGAAAAAUAUAUGAAUUGGUCCGAUGAGAGGAGUUCUAGUGUUACCAAUGCGUGGCAGUGCAGCUGUAGCAGUACCAAAAUGUUACUAAAAAGAACAGAAACUUUUUGGUAACAUUGAGCCUCUAUGUAUCUAUCAUGACAAAAAUUUCAAAUUUAAUCUAAGCAGUGAGUUAAAAAAAAGACAAUUUUGCUGUAAAUAGUAUCAACAGAGAGAGAGAGAGAGAGAGGAUGAAAUACUACUCACUGCAGAAUUUUUUUUCUUGCUUUUUACAUGUGUUGCAUUUUGAUUUGAAAUUUUGUAGUAGUAUGAUAGAUAAUAUUACAACUUUGGUAGUAGCAGCACCACAAGGCUUGGUGGCACUACUAGCACUAAAACUUCCUUCAUGGUCUGAUUUUGACUCUUAUCACUAUAUACCUAUCAAUGGUCGUAACUUGUGAAUUCUUAACUAACAUCUAUAAAAAUCGUAAAACUUUUCUACUAGGGUAUAUUAGUCAGAGAUGAAGGCAUAUAAUGCAAACAUUUAUAUGCUGAUAGUCUUUUUCCCGCAUACCAAGGAGGCUUAGGCGCUUAGUGCAGGGUUAGAAUAAGAUAUCCAAACUGACUCACUUAGCUGGACAAUACACAUUGUAGGAGAUCGCCGAUUGAAGCAUUUAGUCUUUCAUUUCAACACGUGAGCCAAUUAAAGGAGAAAGCGCAAGCAUCUCACCCCGCGCGUGCUCAGCUAAAACUGUAAAAAAAAAACUCAAUUUUCUCUUAUCUUUUGAAAUUGUGAGCCUACUAAAAGACAAAGCCGCAAAUUUUCUCUAACACAAUUUUUAUCACAAGUUUUUGUACCUGAUGGUUUUCAACCAUUUUACCACUAGUCUAAGUGAUUGCACAGUAAAAAAAUGCUCGGAACUGGAAACAACAAUAGCUGUGAGUUUCAUAUCACAACUUUAACUUCAAAAGAAAUGGCAAAAGCCUUAGCUUACCUCUAAUUGUUCAUGCAACCGCUUCUGGACCUCCAUCUGGAGCUUCAAGGCUUCAGAUAUUGGCAUUCCACUGCAAUAACAUAACAUAAAUGAUAUCAAUAACAGUUUCCUAGGAACCUGGUAAAAAUAAAUAAGAGGGAAAACUAAUAAAAAGACCACACUAUAUAAUGAAGUAAUGUGUACUGAACAAUCGCAACAUGCAGAUGUUUAAAUUAAUAAAGUGGUUUAUCUACUAUAAUCAGUUUAUUUUGACUAACUUUAAUUUAGUUCCCAAAGUUAUUUAACUAUUUAUGCACUCGGAUGCUACAUGCUAUUGACUACUAAGCCUCGGAUGGGUAGUAAGCAAGCAAUCAAGCAACACUUUCAGGUUCAAGGAAAUUCAACAAAAUUAGGUCUGUUGACUUCAUUGCAACAGCAUUGCAACUAGUACUAACAACGCAAUGUUUAUCGUGGCAAAAUAAAAUUGCAACAGCAUCAAUACAUAAGUUGUUUAGUACUUCAUUCAUUUCCUUCAAUAAUAAAGAGUCCAGAAUUAUAUUUCGGUAUUUAUGAAAUAUUUGUUAUAAUGCUGUAAAUUGUACUCCCUCCGUCCCAUGUUAAGUGACUUUCUAUUACAUGUAUCUAGAUGCUUAAACGGAAAUCGCAAGAAACGAUUGAACUUCAGACCCGUUGUUGCUUUAAAAAAUUCAAGUACAAACAAUAUGGCCUAUUAAACUGGACAUAAAAAGGGUAAAUCAUUUAACUUACGAGGAACCUUCAAGUGCUGCAAGCAAAUCCCCUGGAUCUCUUUCUUCAGCUUUGUUGUCUACAUAAGGAAUAUAAAUUAGUGAAGUUUAACAUUAAUAGACUACCACUCUUUCUAGAAUGUAGAUAUAACAAGAUGAAAAUGAUUGCCUACCAUCACUGGCUGAUGGGUCUGGAAUGUACUUCGCAAGACGGUAUUUCUAGAUAAAGAAAGGACAAUGGUUAGGGAGAAACAACAAAGAUAGUCAAGCUGGUAAAGGGUUAUUUGUAAAUAAAAAAAACAAUAUACCUGUAGGUGACUUUUCACAUGGUAUAUUGUGAGUCCUGGCACACCCAUAAUUUUCAGAACUCCUUUCGGAGUGGCUCCUGCCACAUUUCAACAAUUAUAUUAUUCACGAUGCAGUUACUCAAACUAGCCAAGUAAUUAAGAAAACGGUUCAAUUAAAUAUGUAGAUCAUAAGCUAAUAAAGUAUUCCUCUGUUUCACCAUGACUUUCCAGGGCCUCGGAAGUAUCUGUUUUAAAAUAAUUAUCUAUUGUAGGAAUCAAUAGUGUAGGAUGUCAUUUAAAUUUUAAUAGGCAGCACAUCCAUGGUCAUUGCUUGCUAAGUGCUAACUCUUUCUUAGAUUUAGUGUUUUCUUCGUCCGAGUGCAUGCUGGGCUGAGGACAGUUACAACAAAAUUGUGAUCAAAGUUGUGUUUUGACUUUUCAUGACCAUGGUGAUGUUACAACUUUGGUUUCACAUGACCAAGUAUGGCUAUCCACUUUCCCUCAACAGUGAGUUUUAGUAUUCAUAGUUCUGUACCACAGUACAAUAAUGCAGAUCACUGAAGUAGAAAAAGUCCACCCUAUUUAGCAAACAUGCAAAUAUUUUGCCAGAGAAGCGCGAGCAUGUCUUUAUAUAGCAUGUCUAUGCCAAACCCGCAGGGUCACAAUCUAUGUAUUCCAUGCAGCACGUUGUAUCAUUCUCUACCUAUCAAUGAAAUGAUAAACAAAUCUUCUGUGGAUUAAAAAUAUACUCAACGAGAAAUAAUAGUGAAUUCAACUUUUUACCCCCUAGCUGUGACUUUGCGACAGCUUUUACCCCAUUUAAAAAUACUUCUACAUUUUACCCUUUCGUUAAAAAUACUGAGAACUUUUACCCCAGACCCCAAAUCAACAUAUAUAACGCGGCAAGUCGGUAACUGACUGGCAGACAACUCAGACACACAAUCAUUAAAUUAUGUUCAGUUCUGUCAAAUCCUUCUAAAUUCUGCUACAUUCUGUCAAAAUCUGACACCAAAGUCACAAAUUUUAACAAAAUUUGAUCAAACUUCACAUAAUAUGGCAGAAUCUAACAUAUUUGAUGUGCCACAAGGAUUAUGCGUUCAAGUCGUCUGCCCAGUUAGCUGUCAUGUCAUCCUAAUAUGUGGGUCAAGUUUGUUUGGGGAAAAUAAUAAAACAGAGUACAGGCUGUCACGAAAUCAGAACUAAAGGGUAGUAUUUUCUUAAUGGGGUAAAAACUGUCACAAAGUCACAGCUAGGGGUAAGAAAAUGGAAUUCACACUAAAUAAUAAGAGAAGCAAUAAAAAGUGAAUAGAGAAGUUGAAGAAUCAAGUACGUACUAUCCGGCCCACCAAGCUGAGUAACAGCCUCCACAAAUCGGUCAUGCAGCUCGUUUGUCCAACGUAACCGUUGCCUUGAUGCCAUGUUAGGGUUAUCAUUUCCCCCAUUACAAGGCACCAUACUCAUACUGGUGCCCCCUAGCUCCAUUUGUUCAUGAGCAGCAGGACUGCCAUGAUUAUGACCAAUGCUAGAAAUUUGAUUUGGCUGAUACAUUGCACUUGCUCGUCGCCUGAAAUACAGACGACUUAAGAAAAUAAUACGGCAUGCCAUGAUUAAACAAAAGGGCAAUUUGGCAAGACAGUCAAAUCUUAUAGGCUCAUUCAACAUUUCAUCCACCAUAAAGCCCACGAAUGCAAAAGAACGCCAUAACUAUCAUUUUCCACGAGGCUCAGCCUGUCGUUUACUAGUAGAUUUGUGCCUAAAUAUGUGAAUGACACCAACAAACAUACUUUGAACUAAGCCUGAUGCCUUGAUUCACAGUUUACUGUAGCUGGGGACUGCAGAGGAACACUUGUAUGCUGAUUCACAGUUUCAUGCCAAAUGCGGCAAGAAUUAAACGAUCCAAUUAACAUAUGCUAGCAUGGUCUCAGAAAAAAAAAACUAACUGGCUACACAAGAACCUACUUAAUUCACUAUAGGUGACAGCAUUUAUUCAACCACACAUAACAACGAAAUACAAAGCGUGACAAACAAGUCCAUGGGGCUUAUCAAUGUGUGGCAUCUCAGCAUUCAGGAAGCAAACGGCAGCUACGACCACGAGAGGAUGUCUCUCUAUCCUACCAGGGUUAUCACCUCAUACCGGAUCUGGCAAUAGGCGGUCAGGGCUAAGGUGCGAAGUUAUCCCAGCACUGCAGGGUCUUCUUUGGGGGUGGUGGAAGGUUGGCAAGGCCGUUAUUGAGCCACCUCCUUCUGCAAACCAGAAAACUCUGAACUUCUUUGUAGUGCUGGAUCCUGAAUACUAGUGGUGAAGAUUUUGGUUGGUCUGCAGCGUCCUGGGAGCAUGCAGGAUGGCAUCAAUGGUUAUAUCUGUUGCAAUGUGCAUCUAGGGGGCAGUUGUUGUCUUGUCAUGGGUGUUUUUGUAAGCAGCCUAAGAAAGCAUUAAGUUUUUUUUGAAAAACAAACAAAUUGGCAGUUUCUUAAAAUUGGACGGCCAGGAACAAAAGUUGGAAAGAAGCUUCCCCACAGAGAAACCCCCAUUCUUGAAACCGAAGGGGACUGCCGACUGCCUCCUCAGACCUUAGGUGCCAAUACGGUCGACCAGGGGGGAACCCCCGCCAAAUACCCUAGCCCGCAGGAGCUCGUGGGUUGAACUAAUCGGAGAAAGUCGAAAUCUACCGGCAAACCAGCUCACCAAGAAACUUGAAGAAGCAGCAAUCCAUGGAUGGAGAACAGGUGGGUGGAUCCCUGGAAAUGCGGAACGCGUGGGGGAGGAAGACGAGAAGGGAGAGGAAGCUACUAACCAAGAAGGGAGAAGAACUGAAGGAGGAUGCUCGUUCGUCUGUCACUCCUUUUCUCUGAUUCUCUCAGUCUCUCUCGGCGAGAGGGAACAUGGAGGAAGACCAAGUGAGGGGUAGGGUGCAGAGGCCGGGGAGCCCCCUUUUCGGAAAAAAAAAGCGAGGGGUAGGGGAGCUCCCUUUUCGAAAAAAAAAACUGAGGGUAGGGAGGGGUUUGUUCAUUUCAUUUUAUUUCCUUUCCCAGCCCUUUCAGAGAAGUUCACGAUUAAUAAAAACGACCUCCAUCGAUUAUACUCUUCCGCCCAAAAUAAGUGACAUGAAAUUCUAUUUGCAGUCCAUCAAAAAAUAACGCCAUCAAUCCAGUAUCAUGUGUGUUUAGCGAUCGACCAAUAUCUUCUCUAGAUCUAAGUACUUGUAAAAAGCGCCUUGACAGACAUCGCCAAUUGAGCAACAACCUUCCCGCUUCUUUCCUCCCGCGCCGUCAUGAAAGGCUCAGGUAGGUUCUUGCCCUUCGGCAAAGGGGCGAGCAAAGCGACAAGGGUGGGUUUGGGAUUUGGGAGAGCUCGGGAGAGAUCUUGAUGGGUCCAGACGGAUAUGUUUGGGGGAGAUAGAUGAGAAAAAUUAUGCAUGUUACUACCGCUAGUGUUUGAUGAAAGAAACUAUUUCUUGUUUGGUAUGUUGUGCUUGAUGUUACUGCUACUCUUUGUUGGUACAGCUUAAUCAAAUACGGAGUAUAUGAAUUUUAUUGUGCCCUUAAUGCAGGGUGUCCUGAUGGAUGGUACAGGCGAUACGUUUUCAACUUUGUGAACUAGGGAAGCAAUUCCAAAAUGUUGGAAUGCGGACUUCGUUGAACCAAUGGAUCAUAGUCCAUUGGCGAGAUCGAAAAAUUUCAAUGUUGAAAAGACAAACUUCUGGUUGAGGCAUUAUAGAGAUUGGUAUGGAUGUAGUGAUAGGGAACGAGCAAUUUUGUUAUAAUACAAAUAUUAGGAGAGAAUUCAUGUGUAUUUUCACAAGAACAAACAAUUUCCGUUCACUAUUCAUGAAAGACACCAACAAGUUCCAUGCAUUCUCAACAAGACAUCGACGACAGAUUCACGUGUUCCAAACGGAGCCUGGAAUUUGCACAGAUAAGUCCAUCUUUGCAGUGGCACAGCUAACCAAAAUGCAUUGAAUCGGAUGUUGGAAUUCUGAAUUCCAUGUUAACACAGCAUUAAGAAAGUCUACUAGGUAUUGGACAUUAACAAAAGUCAGUUUUAGACAUACUGAGAUAGACCAACUUUGUUCUUCAACUAACACUAAACAGUUACCGGGGUCAUAACGACAAUUAGGCUUUGCCAGUUCCAGGUUUGCACAGCCUGGUAUAGUCGGCGGGAGGAGGAGCUCAAGGGAUCUGGAACCCAGCAGAUGCUAGAUCUGGCAGGUCAUAGUCAGAGAUGCUGAAGCCACUUAGUUGUUCCGAUACUAGCAUGCAUGCCUUCUCCAGUAGGCUGUCGAUGUAGGUCUGAUGUGCUUCUCUUCGGAUCUUCACACACUCCUGGACCUGAUAAACGAAACAAGUGCAAACAGUCAAAUACUGGAAACUAUACUACCCAGAGGGGUAUGUCCAGGAUAAACUAGUUGAGUUAUCGCAACAUCGUACUGGCCCUAAUUCCAAUGAAACUGACAGGAUCCCGUCAUGGAUUAAGUUAUUCAGCUGUGAACUAUAGUACUGUAUAACGAAAACAGCUGUAGACAGAAUAACCAUCAAGACAGUUAUUCCAAUUUUUUUUGACGGAAAGCUUUAGGCCAUAAGGCCUAUUGCAUAUAUUAUCAAAAAAAGAGUAUUUACAUAGUAAUUACAUGAAGUUGUCUCUCCAGACCUUUAGGCCAUUAUAUGUCUCUCUUCUAGCUCUAUGAAAAGCAAGAUUGAGUUCGUCCUUGAAAGUUCUUCUACAGCGGUACAGUGAUGGAGUGAUCCCAUUGAAGAUGCAGUCAUUUCUCGUCUUCCAGAUGCUCCAUGUUGCCAGUGUAAUUUCCAUGGAGAAAGGCACAUGAAGUUCUUGCUUAAUUGUUUCCAUGGUGAUGAAGAUGCUGUCACCAGGGGAAUAGCUAGGGCAUUCCAAUUCGAUAGUUUGUUGUUCAACCAGCUACACAUAAGGAUGUUGCAUUGUCUGUAGGAACACCAAACACUUCCAGAUAUCUUGUCUCUAAACAAAGUCCACUAGAAUAAGGGAGAUGUAGCCUAAUUCCACUAGAAAGAACUUUAUUUGUUUUCUACUCUAAACCUUCAAUUCACCCUUAUUCGAUCAAAAGGCCAGAAUGCAUUGUUCAUUUUGUCUCUAAACAAAGUCCACUAGAAUAAGGGAGAUGUAGCCUAAUUCCACUAGAAAGAACUUUAUUUGUUUUCUACUCUAAACCUUCAAUUCACCCUUAUUCGAUCAAAAGGCCAGAAUGCAUUGUUCAUUUCUUGGACAGUACAAUGUUUACCCUUAGCCAGGAAGCACUGACCGUGCCAAAACGUACUAUAUGUUCCAUAGGAGUAAGAACUACAAGCAAACUCAUCCCAAAACUCAAAACUAUUGCAGCAAAUAUAGUAAUGCUGAUGUCAUAAUAAGCAAAAAAAGAAAAGAGUGUUGUUGUUACCUUCACUUGUUCAUGCAAUCUUCGUUGCACUUCCAUUUGUUCUCUGAGUGCUUCUUUGACUUCUUGACUUCUAUAAAACAAUAAUCAUACAAUGUAAUUUCUCUGAAAUAUCACAAGUUGGACAAUAAACCUAAAUUUGGACAGAUUUGUCUAAAGUCAAGACUAUGGUUGAUAAUUAGUUGAUGAAGCUUACUCUUCCACAUCUGGUAUAGGAAUUCUAGGAGACAAAUUUAUUCCACUUUGAGCUUCCAUAAGGUAAGAACCUGCAAUCAUUCAAAAAGGCAAUAGAAAGUCAGUUGUCAAGUAUGAAUUGCAAGAAAACUACUGUUCUUCUGGACUGAUGAGAAGUUAUACACAAAACAGAUGAACAAAUAUGCACAGAAUGCUCUAAACAUAUUUUGGUAUCAAUGGUACAGCACAAUCUCAUAAAAGAGGUGGAUGACUUUAUUGAGAAUAUUAUGAUUAGCAAGUAUAAGCAAUCUGUGUAAGGACCUGCUGUGUUUGAGUUCACCACAAUUGAGACCCUGAAUGCUAACAAUGUGGCUGAGAAUAAAAAUAAUACUUUCCAAUACUUACUAGUUACUUUUUUGGUGAGAUGUUCAUGUACGAAACUUCGCACAGCACCUAACAAGAAAAGUAUUUUCCCAUUUCCCACAACUUCCAGCAUGUGCCGAAACCUAAGUCUUCACUUCAAGCUGGUAGCUACAGGUACUAUUUUCAAUCCAUAGAACUCCCAGCUGACCUCAGUUUAUCUAUUUCAGGUUGGUACCUUAUUUCGUGCGACAACAUCCCAGACUCUAUUAGGGUUCAGGCAGAAAAGUGGAAGCUCGUAGGAAUUUUGAGAGAAUAGAGAUUCUGUGUUUGUUUUCUUUUCGUUUGUGUUGUGGUGGACCUCAGUUUGUUGUCGUUGCUCAGUUGGUUCUUCUCCUUCUAAUGAAAAAAUGCAUGCUUUCUCACGCGUUCCUGAAAAAAAAGAUCUAUUCUAGUGUUCCAUCACAGAAUUGACUCCACCUAUUUUAUUGAUGCCAAACAUGUGUUGAUGAAUGAUCAAUUCAAUGGAUCCGAUGAAGCCGCCAAUUUAGUAAGAGACAGUUGAACUUGAUGCAACAAGUAUACAAGUCAAAAGUGGAUAAGCGGUCAGAGUCUGUCUACACAAAGGACUUGCCUAAGAAAAUAGGAACUCCAGCAAGGAAUUGUAUGCUAAUUCAUGCUGAGGUCAUCAAUAACUUUGUGUAACUUACCAUCUUUUGAUUGCUCAGUAAUCUCCUUGCCAGACUGCUUUCCCAAUCUGUAUUUCUGGUAAGUCGAAAAACUAACAAACAUAAGAACGUAGUUGAGUUUUCUUUUACUGCAGGAAACAUUUGCGCGAGCCAGUGAAAAUACCUGGAGAUGACUUUUCAAAUGAAAAAGAGUGAGCCCUUUCACACCCAUUGUCCUCAAGAUAGUUUUUGGCGUUGCUUCUGUGGGAUCAACAUCACAAUCAGUCUAACAAUUGCAUGCUUUAUCCAGAUAUCAAAGAUAAACCAUAAAUGCACAGCAUAUGGCAUUAUCGCACGGUGGCGAUAUUAAAAAUCCAAUAAAUAGUGAUACUAGUCAGCAUCCUAAAAUAUUCAUGCUAGCAGGUCAUAACUUGUAAGGACUACUGUUAAUCCUGCAGUUUAGGUUGAUAAUGUGGUGUUGGUCAUAUGUGGCAUUCAUAUAAUUUAGCAUAUAAGUAAAAGCCAUAGGAAAUAUAGUAGAAUAUAGUGAAAAUGCAAUCAUCUUAUUUUGGUAAACACAUAGUUUAGUGAAAUAUAAGCUCAAGGGGGAAAGAAAAUCUCGACUAAAAUACAAAUAUAUCAGUUUUCCAUACUAUGCGAGUAACGAUCUGAUCAAGUCAAUGAAUAUUAUUAAACUGCACAGCUUCCAGUAAUUAACACAUAAAUCGACUAUCUCAUUGUUAGGAAACACGCACAACUGCGGCACAAAGUGCAGCAUGUAAGUGACACAAGCUAAUACUAAUCAAUUAAUAUAAACUCCAAUCCUUCCAUAGAAAAGCAUAACCUGCCUCCAAAAUGGAGAAACCAUCAAACUUAACUAGAACUGAAAAAUCAAGACUAGCAUGCCUACUUGCCUAGAAUGAUCAAGAUAAAGCAACAGCUUUAUUCAGUUUGUCAAACCAAUCACAGCAUAUGACAUUUCCUGUAUGCUUGAGUUUAUGUAGAGAGAUCGAUAUAACAAUUGUGAACAUUGAAGAAAUAUUUAGCUUCAUAGGCUAUAAUUUCUUCCACUCCUGUCAACAGCCCAGAAUGUAAAAUAUAUUUUUAUGAAAUCUACCACAAGUUACAACAAAUAUUCAAUAUACUGAGGGAAAUUAUUAAUGAACCACAACAAGUUUAUCAGAAUCCUCUUUCAAGAAGGAGAAGAAGAAGAAGAAAGAAGACAGAAUUACACAUAUAAACAGUUUGGGGAGGUAAUGUGGGAAAUGCAUGGUAAAAUGAACUUGCACACCUAUGACCACAUUAACCAAUUUCGGUUUAGGUACUUUUACAAUUAAAAAAACGUAUUUGUAUUUCUGUGCACAGAACAAAAAGGAUAAAACAAAGUACCCUGGUAGUACAAAAGAUUAUUCAUAUUCUUUUUCUUCACAGAGCACACAUAAGUGUCUUUUUGCCCAUGCUACAAGUAUAAGUACAAUAACAUGUUCUAGUAUUAUGAACUUUUUGGGGGAUUUUUUUUUUGUAAUUAUUCAUGUGAACUAUCUCCAUACCAUGGGGUUCAUAUAUGGUCAUAGCUCAUAGGUGCACCAAUUAUGCAUCACAAACACAAAAAUCACUUUAAUCCACUAGAAGCCACAUCGAGAGUAUCCGACUCAAGAAUCUCAAACAUAAACGUGGAGGCGACAGUAAAAAGACACAAGUUUUUGCAAGUAGUACAAGGACAAGACAGCAACCCAUAAGAAAGGAACUACAGCGCCUACAGGUCGGGAAUGUUUUGAAGGAAAAGUGCCUAAUCGCUCUCAGUUGGCCUGCUUGAACAACGGUCCUAAACCAUAAGAACCGUCACUUUCAAAAGACAGGCGAGCGUUUUCGUUUUGAGCAUAGAAGAAAUGACACGCACAGAUACAGUGUUUAUAGUAAGAAAGAACGCGAAGUUCCAACGAUUUCAGGGGACGCGAGUGCACAUUUCAACUCAAUAAAUCCUAAUGAUCCCUGGCUAGCACGAGAAAAUAUGAAAUCUGUCGCCAUAGCAAAUUAGCAACCCCCUUUUCUAUGUGAGCCGCACAUUCAAUUGAAGUCAAGUCAACGAGGUCCUACCAAGAAAAGGCCCAUUAAUCCGCAAUUCUUUUCCCCAACAAACUAGCGUCUUUACAUGCCAACAAAUUAAGAAGUAGCCGGCGAGGGCAUGGACCAAGAAGGAGGCAGGGCGGGCAGAGGGAAUAGAGAUGGAGGAGUUUCUCACUGUCUGGCCCGCCGAGCUGGGCGAUGGCGUCGACGAAGCGGUCGUGGAGGUCUGCCGUCCAGCGGAGCCGGGGCUUGGGGUCGGCCGUGAGCACCAGGCUGGGCGCGCUGCCGCCGCCAUGCCCGCGCGGCGCGUCGUCCGCGGCGUGCUGGUGGUGGUGGUGGAUCAGACCAGGAAACAUCUCCUCGCCUGUGUGCUCGCCGGGAGGCGUCCCCUCCAGAAAAAGCGAGAGAAGAUUAAUUGGAGGGAAAGCUUCUCUCUGACUCUGCUCCGCUCUAGUAGUACCCUCUACGCCUUUCCUGUUCUCCUCUCCAUAUUUGUGCAGUUGCGCUGCCGCUCUCGAUUUAUUAGUCUUUGUCUGCCUUUUUGUAUAUUCGGUGGCUCGCGCUCACGGACGGGCGCGUCGCGACAGCUUUACACCGUCGCUAUAGCAGUGCCGCAGGAAAGCAAUCAUCACCAAACUUACAAACUUACUGUUCCGAGCACAACAGCUGCAACCUUUCGGAACAAAUGAUGGUGCAGAAAUAACUUUGAGCUGUUUUCCUUCCUCUCCGUUCAACCUAAAAAUAAAUAAAUACUCAUAAGAUUUAUAUUAGUUGAAUGUAUUCCGACGUUUUUUAAUUAUGAAUACGUCUAUAUUUAGAAAAAUUUGAGACAAUUAAUAUGGAUCCAAGAAAAUAACAUUUUUCGCGUAUAAAAAUAAAUAGAUCACAUGAACACGCCCACAGCGGCAACCCAACAGGUUGUGCGGUUGUGUUUCAUGCUGCCGUUUAAGCACAAUUUCCGUAAGCGCAAAGGGUGCCGUCAGGUAAGAAUAAUUGUUAGCUUGAAGAAGCAUUUAAACCCAUGUUUAAAAUUUAACAAAAUCUAUUCUUUCUGGAAACGUCAUGCAUGCUGAUGUUUUUCUACGUCGCACGCAUACCAAUUCAACUUGUGGGUUAUAUUUAUACUCCUUCCGUCUCAUAUUAAAUGUCAAAUAUUACAGGUAUCCAUGCUAAUUUUAGUAUAUAGAUACGGUUAUAUUUAGACAAAUUUGAGUCUAAUAUGGGGACCUUGGGACGCAGAGAGUAUAAACUAAGUAAUUUUAUGCUUUGGCCACCUUUAAUAACCAUAUUUUCUCUGUCCCUUCUUAUAUUACUCCUUCCGUCAUAUAAUUCUUGUCUCAAAUUGAUAAAAAUGGAUGUAUCUUCUCUUCCUCUCGUUUUACGGAGAUGCAUAGAAUUUUUUUUCUUUUGAGGAAACACGGUACAGACGCAAGCACUCACACACACGCACGUUACACUCACCCUAUGAACGCACGCACGCACACCCUAUCCCUAUGAGCACCUCUGAGAGACUGAGCCACCGGCCGAUCAUCUUGAGAUUGACAAAAUCAUCACAGGCGUCUCGUAGUUGACGGGUAGGUCACUCCCACUGAAAGCACAACGCCGGUUUAAGUCUGGAAUAAAUUCAAAAAAUGCGAGCACCCAUGCCAAGUCUGAGACUUGAACCUGGAUGGGCUGGUUCCACCACAAGAAACCAACCACCUGAGUUAGGCUCAGUUCGCGACAUGCAUAGAAUUUGUUACCCAACGGGUAAACAAACACACAUGUAUCACUAACAAAAGUUAUAUACCUUGCAUCACGAAACGGUGGGAGUAUGUACUUUUCGCGUAGCUCAUGGGUACAGACAUGUAAUACACAUCCAUCAAUAGAUGAUAUAUACAUGUGAUUUUUUUAUCGAAUCCAUCAUAUUUUCAUAAUAUAUUUAUUGAUGUUGUAGAUAUUAUUAUUUUUAUAAAUUUGUCAAACUAUAAAAGAUUUGACUUAGAGCACAAAUCAUAAAUAUGCUAUCUCCAACUAUAGUGCACCAACAACUUAUACUAUAACAAGAUGAGCACUUAAUAAACAACAAGCUAGCACAAGAUAUAAGAUAGCACAAAGCACAUAUAAGAUAAUAUAUGACUUCAAGCACGAUGACUAUCACAAAUUAAAGCACAAGUGAAUGAACUCGGUUUAGGAAUACCCGAGGCACGCGGAGACGUUGAUUUAUCCCGAUGUUCACUUCCUAGGAAGCUAAUCACCAUUGGAGAGGUGCGGGGCGAAUACUCGAAAGGCUCACCUUAUUCUCCUUGAGCCUCUUCCACGAUGUUGGGGCUCAUUCACUUCGGCUAGCUUCUUCCUCCACUCCGAAGAUGGCAAGCUCCAAUGCCACUUUACAAAUCCCACAAAGGGGAACCUCGGGCCUCUUCACAAUCUCCACGAAGAAGUCACCGGACAACAAUCUCUAAGCCGUCUAGGAGGUGAACCUCCAAGAGAAACAAGCUCACAGACUCUCACCGAACAAAUCAAGAUGGAGAGCUCAAACCAAUGCACCAAAUGCAAAGCAAGAACACAAGAAAUGCUCAAAUCCCUCUCUCUCUCAAAUCCCACCCAAAGCAACAAAUGCUAGGGAGAAAUUAGAGAGGAGGAACAAGGGGAGGAACUAAAAAAAUGAUUUCUCCAACUAGAUCCACAAAAUGCCUUCAAUUAGAUGGGAGAUUUGGGGCUUAGGGGAGGUGGAGAAAGCUCUCAAAGGUGGGGUAUUUUCAUAUCCAAGAGGUGCCUCUCCCGUGGGGAAGAAGACCCCUUUAUAUAGGGCCCCCACAAAUCUGCCCGUUGCAGCUAGUCUGGGUGAAUCCGGAAUCUCGUCCGGAAUUCGGGGUGAGAAUCCGGAUUCUGGCACUGUAGCAACUGGAGGCUAUUGGACUCUCGAGGCCACGUUUUGGAACCAAUCCGGACAAAAUCCGGAAUUCUGGACCAAAAUCCGGAUGCACAGCAGCAGCAAAAACAGCAGAAACCACUCACACAAAAAUGUCAAUAACUUUUGCAUACGAACUCCGUUUUUGAUGUACUUGGUCUUGUUUCGAAGAUAACAACGAGCUCUACGAACUCACGAGGAAAACCAGAAAAUAUCAACCAAAACAGAUGAUGCAAAAUAUGCAAAUGUUUGAGCACUCUAUGCAUGACAAGUUUAAGGAGCAUGCCCGAAAGCCCCUCUUGAUAGAAUGGCUAUCGAACCUAUAAACCGGUCUUCCACCAAAUUCCUUGAGACCGGUAAAACUAGAAAAACCUAACUAGAAUAUACCUUUGCCUUGUGCAAUCCACUUGAGGUUGAUGUAGCCGUUCAUGCUCGUCUUAAGUUGCAAUCCUUCGCUUCACCACUAACACUUGGUGAAGAUUCUCAAUUUGCUCCCCCAUGCUCCAAUGUGGGAUCCCUUCACUUUAAACACAUCUUCACGUGUCCAUUAUCUCCAAAUGGAUGACAAGCUUCAAGCAUGUAUCUUCUCGGGAUGCUUAUCUUGAGCUUGCCCUUCUCAACCUUCAUGAUCAUCUCAACUUGAUGUUAUCCCUCAUGAUCCAUGUGAAUUCUUCUCUGUUAAUCCAAACCCAUGAGUUGUACCUAACCCACAUAGAAAGGAAACACAUAGCUUAUGGGUUAGUUCCCAAACACAAUUGACAAAUGCUUACCAUACCACUAGAUCACUAGAUCACUAGAUCCCAUGCGGUACAUCAUUUACGCUUGUGUGUUGACCAACUUGAAUCCAAACGUUGCACUUCAUCUUGGUCAACCUUCAUCUUUCCUUUACUCUGCAUGUCUAUUAUAUUUUGAAGCCAAUAGUGAACUCUUCACUUAAUCUUCAUUGCUUCAAGACUGGAUUACCAAAUGCUCCCUCAUGACCAUACUUGGGAUUCACCAUGAAUAUCACUUUGGUUUUCUUCAUUCUUUAUAACAAUAUCUUGAGACACAUAAUGGUUUCUUCACUUGCGUCUUGCUCCAUGACUUGGUCAACCAUGGCUCAACUCAUGCAAACAAUAACCUUACCAUGAAGUCAUAUCUUGAAUCCUUCUCUAGUAUUCAUCCUCUCAACAUCUUUAUCUUCUAUGGCUCAACUCAUGAGCCCAAAUAUGACCACGUUCAAGUUCCACCUUAGAAUCAUAUCUUGUUCAAUUCUCAAUCUUCAUAUAUAGCUCAAUGCAAAACACUUAUCCAUAGUUGAUUCUCAUCGGUUACAAAAACCACCAAUCCAAUUGUCAAAUCUCAAUGUAUAUAUUUAUGUCCGUGACAUUUAUCAUUGAAUUCACCACUUGGUCUUCAUGCAUUGCCUAUGAACAAUUCCUUCAAACAUAUUUAAAAUAAAACGUUAGUGCAUAGGGAUUGUCAUUAAUUACCAAAACCACACAUGGGGCAACAUGCACUUUCAGCAGCAACCCGACGCUUCGCACAGGAGCUGUGCGGCGCUUCCCUGGGAACGCGGCGACGAUGCUAUAGGCGCAGCCGGCAGCGACGGUGGCAGGAACAAGACGACAAUGCAUUAGGCACAACGGUGGCGGAAGUUGUUGAAGUGCCGGCCGUGCUCGCCCGCAAACACCACACGGCACGUCGUCCUCCCCCACGCCAAGCUGCGUUUCGUUGACAGACUAGUUGCGGGAGUGCAGCCUUUUGUCAUCACGUAGCUCUAGCUGUUGUUCCAGUGCAAGGGAAGCCAUAGCCCUAGCCAUAGUUGUUGCAUUACUUCUCUGUUAGCGGCUAAUCAGUAAAGCAAGCAUUAGCAAGUAGCAACACGCGUAGCCGACACCUUCCUUGCAGAGCUAGCCAUGCCCUUCCCACUUAGGCCUUGUUUGGUGUUAGUGUAUUUUUACUCACUAGUGUUUUGGUAUUUGAGGGGUUUGGGUGUUCACCCAAAACACUAGUAUGAGAAGUGUUUUAAUUUUGGUACAAAAAUGGAGUUUUGUGGGGGUAAACUAAGGAUAAUCCCUCUAAAUCUUUCCUAGCAAACAACUAUUUGGGAUUUCUAGUGUUUUUCAAUUUGGAGUGGAUAAUACCCUAAAAAACACUCCAAAAACUCUAGUAACAAACAAAGCUUUAUGGUAAUCAAAAUUCCAGAGAUGCCUCUGUGGUGGAUCGCAGCGCCGGUCGAUAAUCUCCCCACAUGUCACCUCGCUCACCGAGAGCCGGGCCAGGCCAUGCAAGAUCCUCCGUGCAUGGAAGGCGACACAGAGAGGAGUGCGGAGGUGGAAUCUGCGGAUGCACAUGCGGCGGAGUACGCCGGUGGUGACCGACGGCGGAUGACGCGGGGCGGCAUCGACGGAAAAGGAGGAAGAAGAGAAGGGGAUAAGGAAAUGAGCAUGGGAUAGGUACAGAGGUUUGUGGAGCCGAAUGAAGAAGAGAACAUGAUUGAUACGGAACGUUCGUCAGCAGCGGUAGGUACGGAACGUUCUCCGAAUAGAUAAAUUGUUGAUGUUUUCACACCAGCCCUCAAAGCCUUUGUAUGAGGAUUUUUAUACAAAAUGUUUCAGUAUGGGGGCUUUUUGCAAACUAUGUCGGGCCUGAAAACAGUCCCUGCAUGUGACACAUGUCCAAUUCAGAUUUAUUGGACUAAAAUGCUCCCGCAUCUCAAGUUUCAGGAUUAGUUUUGCUCAAUUCACAAGAAAGUGGACUAAAAUGCUCCAAUCUCUCAAGGUGUUGGACCGGUGGUGCAAUUACCUCUUAUGAAAAAAUAAAAUAAAAUCACAAUAUCGAUUAGUCAGUUAGCCGGCCGCCGGAGCAGUGCUGCUUGAUGCCGGAUUGCCGCCGACCAGCUCUUGAUCCAGAUUUGCUUCGCGUGUGUUAAACUGAGAAACUACCAGGGGGAAAACACGAUGUACCGCGCGCAAAAGGCUCGCUAAUAUUUUGGCAGACGAUUUUCGCGCCGUCUUCUCGCCCGCGCGACGGUGAAAACUGCGUUGGCACGCGGCCAAGUUCGCCAGGGCGUGCCAAAUUUGGUUCCCUCCCAAACACAGGCCAAAAGUCCAGGGCACGGCCAAUACUAGUUAAGUGCCCGUGCGUUGCAAUGGAAUAAAAAAAAUGAUACAUGUGAGACUUAAGUACGCGUCCAUUUAAUGUCGAAGAUAUGUUUCUCAACAUUGUUUUCUCGAUAGAUUGUCAAGUCCUGCAAAGGGCGCUAUCUACGUCGGAUUAUGAUGCGAUGCCGCUGGGAGCGAUGUUCAAUUGUUCAGAGAAGCCAAGUAUAUUCUCCAUAUGUCCUUCGUGUAUUCUUCGGUCGUGUUUUUUCCUCGGCCGGCUCAUGCUUUAGCCGCUUUGGGGUCUUGUUUAGUGUUCUUAGUUCAUGGUUGUUUAAGAAAAUUUUGAUUGCAUUCAAAUAACAGACCUCAGCCUCAACUGUCCAAAUUCUAUUCAUGCAAUAUACGAAGGAAAAUCAGAACAAAGCCACACAAAGGUGUAGCCAAUGGCCUAAUGCAGUAGCAGAACUAAAAAAGGAGGGACAUUGGUGAACAAUAGAUGGGUUAGAGAAAAGCUAAAGAUACAUAAAAAAACAUUCUCUCUUUGCAACGGCAUAACAAAUAAAAUGAUAAGUUCUAAAACAUGUAUCAAAACAUUAUCUCUUUGGUCUUCUUUGACAACCACUAAAUAUCCCUUAAAUAAAUUUUUUCCUAAGAUUUUGUUUCUAUACUCUACUUUCUCAAAAGACAAUGAUACCUUUCCUUCUUAAAAUUAUAUAGUAUCACCCGAUCAAAAAUAGUAUUGGGACUAAAUAGCUUCACUCCUUUUAGUUCUCUCCACUACCUCACUUCACACAUAAAAAAAAGUUAGAAGCAGCACAUAUUUAAAAAAAGAAAUAUGAGAAAAUAAGACAUGAAUGAAUGAGAGGGCAUCCUGUUCCAAAAUAAAUUUUACAUACAAUAUUUUAAGUCUAUGCAUACAUCCAUGUCUUGCCUGAAGAGUAUGUCUUCUAAUUCUAUUUUACCUCGACGUCAGAUUAUUCCAAAACACGUGAGGCAGGACAAAACGACCAGGAGAAAAUGCAUGCAUUACAAAAAAGUGGAUGGUAUUACGAAGGAAAAAGAAGCCUACAGAGACAUAUUUUGGGCGAAUAAUACAUUUUCCUUAUAUUUUAUUUCCAUGGGCAAAUAUCUUACCAAAGCAAUGUCAUCAUCUGUAGUUGUUGGAACUUCACCUCCACUUUUGAUCAAUCAGUAUUAGCACGUACACUAUGGGCAAAUAUCUUACCAAAGCAAUGUUGUCAUCUGUAGUAUUUUGUACCUACAUGCUUUCUUUUAUUUGAAUAGUUCUUCAUUCUUCAGCUGUAAAGUGGAGAUAUGCCCUAGAGGCAAUCAUGUGAUAAUGUUAUUCCUAUGUAUUCAUGAGUUAUUGUUAUUGUCCUUGAACAUCAUCACUGAUAUGUAUCAAUAAAUAUGUGAUUUGUUUGUGAGACUAUAUAUUCUAUGACGUUGUUCUAAUGGUCCCUAGUCAUUGAGGUUAUGCGGACACACAACCUAGACUAGUAAUGUGAUUCAGUAUGAUGACUAUGUUUCACAAGUCAUAGGGCAAGGUGUUGCCAACUGAUAGCAUUGGACUCGACAAUGAGAUUGCCGAGUUGGACAAGCGGUGAGACACAACGAGAUGAUUGCCAUUUGUUAGUCUCAAGUAGGAUGUUUAUGCCAGUUCUAGACCUGAGGUCAUCGCAUGAGCUUGGGAUGUGAAUCGGCUUACUUAGGGGUUACCAAACGCUACUCCGUAACUGGGUAGUUAUAAAGGUAGCUUUCGGGUUUGCUGAAAAGCAUGCUGCAAGUCAUGGUAGUUGAUCAAGAUGGGAUUUGCCCCUCCCUUUGGGAGAGAUAUCUCUGGGCCCUCUCGAGUGAUCAGAUUCGGAAAGCAUGGCCAUGCGACUUGGGUUAAGCGUUAACCCGUUCGGGAAUCUGAAUCACGAGAUCGAGAAGAGAGUCGAGCUAUACACAAAAGGAUGACAAGUACUCGCCUUGAGCUCGACACACAUAUCGUGAGGCAAAAUGAAUGUUUCAUGUGGACACAUUGUAUGGUUCGUCAAUAUUCUUUGUGGUUAUUUGGGAGCCAGCAAGUGCUGCUAGGCGCCGCUACUGACUAUCGACUUGGGUCGGAACCUAUGUUCGGACUCGUAGUCGUGUCCGUCUGACCGUGAACCUGUAGGGUCGCACACUUAAGGGGAUGGGACCGAAUUGGAUUGGAUCCAACUCGUAUCGGGCUUAGACUCCUAAUGGGCCUCAAGUGUUGAAGCCCACCAGGGAGGUCUAUAUAAGUGGAGGAGGCAUACCCGGUUAGGGUUACCCCCAGUUCGUGGUACGAGUCAGACUCGGCCGUCACAUCUCCACGCCCAAACCUUGCGAUCGGAUCUAGCAGUCUGCUGCACGGAGUUCCUCUCUGUACGUGUGGAUACCUCGGAGGCGCUGCACCUACGGCGCUUGGACGAACUGUUCGUGGGAUCGGCGAGGAGGAACAGGCCGAUCGACUACUCGGCAUCGACACGCAUCACCGACUCUACUUCUGCUAUGGGUCUGCGCGUCUAGUGGUAAUCUCGUGAUCCAUUAUCUACAGCAUUGAUCCGGAUGGAAUCGGCAGAAAAUUUUAUUUUGUGCUCGCGUAGCCUACCGUGUUCCCCAAAAGUGGUAUUAGAGCGGAUGAUGUCUAUUUUGGAUUCGGAUUACGUGCAUAAGUGUUAUACGAUAGUGGUAGAUGUGAUCUAUUGCUAUCUUGGUGGUCGAUCUAAGUGGUAGAUCGGUUUUGUACUCAAUCGAUUGGAUCGGUUGUACUCAGGGAUAAUGGAUAUUUAAUUAUGAUAAUCGUGAUGUUGAUGGUCGUGACACAACCUACUCCUACCGGUCGGAUUUCCGCCAUCGGGGUAAACAGUGAAACGUAAACCCGGAUACGAUUCAUGAGAUCAAUGUGAUUGAUCAAAUCGGAAUAGAAAUCCAUGAAGGAAAUUUUGGAUUGGAUCUGAAAAUUUUCUAUCUAAUCGGGAUCGCCGUGCUAUCUAGUCGUAGCGCCUUAGUUGUCGUUACGAGUUCACAUCUGUUCGGUAGAAUAGGAUUCUACGCUUAACUUGUUUUUGCAGGAUUGAUGUGAAUAGUAGGGCUCAUAUGUAUGUGAUGCAUGUGUGUAAUAUUUGCAUGACCUGCGUGUCAUGAGUUUGUCAGCCAGGCUGGAGCCAAGGUGUUGUCUUUAUAAUUAUAUAACGACCUGCGUGUCAACGUGUGAUGUCUUCCUCCUUGUAAUUUCAUUAUUAGGUGUACUACCCUAGUGUGGAUUUGGAGGAGACGAGCACCCGGCGGCUUGAUGAACAGGUUCAUGGAGAUGGAGAUCACCAUGAAGAAACAGAGCCAUACUAUUUCACAUGUUUAUUUAAUUAUCUGAGAUGGUUAUUGCUUUGUUUACUCCUAUGCAUAUUAUUGUAUUAGAGUAGAAUGAUCCCUCAAAGAAUGUCAAGUUUAUUUACCUCCCCAAUAGCUGUUGGGGAACGCGGUAGGCUACACUAGCACAAAAUAAAUAUUCUACCGAUUCCGCCCGGAUCAAUGCUGUAGAUAAUGGAUCACGAGAUUACCACUAGACGCGCAAACCCGUAGCAGAAGUAGAGUCGAUGAUGCGUGUCGAUGCCGAGUAGUCGUUCGGCCUGCUCCUCCUCGCCGAUCCCACAAGCAGUUCGUCCAAGCGCCGCAGGUGCAGCGCCUCCGAGGUAUCCACACGUACAGGGAGGAACUCCGUGCGGCGGACUGCUAAGUCCGAUCACAAGGUUUUGGGCGUGGAGGUGUGAUGGCCGAGUAUAACUUGCGUCUGGACUGGUGUGUCCCUAGCCGGGUUGAUCUCCUCCACUUAUAUAGACGUCCCUAGUGGGCUCAACACUUGACGCCCGUUAGGAGUCUAAGCCCGAUACGAGUUGGAUCCGAUCCAACUCGGUCCCCACCCCUUAAGCGUGUGACCCUUCAGGUUCGCGGUCAGUCGGACACGACUACGAGCUCGGACUGCGGGCCCGAGUAACACCUUACUCGUCCACUGGCACCGACUCAAGUCGAUAGUUGGUAGCGGCGCCUAGCAGCACGUGCCAACUCCCGACUGACCACAAGGUAUAUUGACGAACCAUACAAUGUGUCAUAUGCAACAUUCCUUUUGCCUCACGAUAUGUGUGUCGAGCUCAAGGCGAGUGCUUCUCAUCCUUGUGGAUAGCUUGACUCUUCUCAUUCCUGUGAUACAGAUUCCCGAACGGGUUAACACUUAACCCAAGUCACAUGGCCAUGCUUUCUGAAUCUGAUCACUCGAGAGGGCCCAGAGAUUUCUCCCUGAAUAGGAGGGGCAAAUCCCAUCUUGAUCAACCAUGACUCGCAGCAUGCUUCUCAGCAAACCCGAAAGCUACCUUUAUAACCACCCAGUUACGGAGUAGCGUUUGGCAACCCCUAAGUAGGCCAUUCACAUCCCAAGCUCAUGCGAUGACCUCAGGUCUAGGACUGGCAUAUACAUCGUACUUGAGACUAACAAAUGACAAUCAUCUCGUUGUGUCUCAGUGCGGGUCUGUCCGACUCAACAAUCUCAUUGUCGAGUCCAUGCUAUCAGUCGGCAACACCUUGCCCUAUGAUUUGUGAAACAUAGUCAUCAUACUGAUUCAUAUUCCUAGUCUAGGUUAUGUGUCCGCAUAACCUCAAUGACUAGGGACCAUUAGAACAACAUCAUAGAAUACAUAGUCUCACAAACAAAUCACGUAUUUAUUGAUACAUAUCAGUGAUGAUGUUCAAGGACAAUAACAAUAACUCAUGAAUACAUAGGAAAUAACAUCAUCACAUGAUUGCCUCUAGGGCAUAUCUCCACUUCUGGCUGCACCGGCUGAUAAUGCCACUGCUACUGUUAGAAACGCCUAUCAACGCUCAUGUGAUGAGUUGAUUGAGAUCAGCUGUCUCAUGCUUGCAUAUAUGGAGCCCGAACUGCAGCACCAGUUUGAGAAUGUUGAGGUUUUCGAUAUGAUCCAAAAUCUCAAAGGCAUGUUUCAGACUCAGGCUAGGACUGAAAGAUUUAAUGUCUGGAGGUCCUUCCUGGAGACUAAGCUGAAGGAAGGCGAACCCUUGAGCCCUCAUGUAAUCAAGUUGGUUGGUUACACGCAAAGCUUGGAGAAGCUGGGAUUUCCGUUGAACCAAGAGUUGGCCACGAAUACAAUUCUGGCAUCUCUUCCUCCGAGCUAUGCGCAGUUCCUUCUGAACUACCAUAUGCACAUCAUGGAAAAGAAAGUCACUGAAUUGCAUGGGAUGCUUAAAACGGCAGAGGAGGAUAUCAAGAAAAAUACCAAGCAAGUGUUGCUGGUAUAGGGAAAGCCAAAGUUCAAGAAGAAUUCUUGGGCUAAGAAGAAGGCAAAGAAGGGAAAGGCGAAGGAUGUGAUCCCGACCCCUCCUCCUGCGCGUAAGGCUGGACCGAACGCAGAGACCGUGUGCUUUUUCUGCAAAGGCUCCGGUCAUUGGAAGAGAAACUGCAGCAAGUACCAGGCCCACAUGGCAAAGAAGGGUGGAAGUGUGACUUCUACUUCAGGUACGGUUGUUGUUUGUGUUAUAGACAUUUAUCUUGCUGAUGCACCUAUUAACAGCUCUUGGGUAUUGGAUACCGGAUCGGUUGUUCACAUUUGCAACUCGAUGCAUGGGCUGGUAAGGACUAGGAGCGUCGCAAGUGGAGAGGUUGACACAAGGGUUGGCAAUAAAGCAAGAGUUGCAGCGUUGGCCACCGGGACUAUGCAACUUCAUUUACCUUCUGGAUUUAUUAUGAAAUUAAAUAAUUGUUAUUAUGUUCCUGCUUUAAGUCAAAACAUUAUAUCUGUCUCAAACUUGUUGAGUCAAGGUUAUGAAUUCAAUAUUAAGGGCAAUGGUUGUUCCUUUUAUUCGAAGGAUAUGUUUUACGGCUUUGCAACCAUUGUGAACGGGUUGUUCAUCCUUAAUCUUGAAGGAGAAUCUGUCUAUAAUAUUAAUGUCAAGAGGUGCAAGCCUAAUGAUCUGAAUCAAACCUAUUUCUGGCAUUGUCGUUUGGGUCACAUAAGUGAAAAACGCAUGAAGAAGCUUCAUGGAGAUGGACUUUUAACUUCGUUUGAUUAUGAAUCAUUUGAGACAUGCGGGUCUUGCAAGAUGACCAAGUCACCUUUUGCAAAGAGUUGCGAGAGGGCGACCGACUUGUUGGAACUCAUACAUACUGAUGUGUGUGGACCAAUGGGCACGACAGUUAGAGGAGGUUAUCAAUACUUAAUAACAUCCACUGUUGAUUUGAGUAGAUAUGGAUACGUCUACUUGAUGAAACAUAAGUUAGAAACCUUUGAAAAGUUCAAAGAGUUCCAGAAAGAAGUAGAGAACCAAUGUGGCAAGAAAAUAAAGCUUCUACGAUAUGAUCAUGGAGGCGAAUACUUGAGCCGCGAGUUCGACAAACAUCUGAAGAGUUGUGAAAUUGUUCCACAGCUCACACCGCCGGGUACACCACAGAGAAACGGUGUAUCGGAACGGUGGAACCGAACCUUGUUGGACAUGGUUCGGUCAAUGAUGAGUCAGUCAGAUCUUCCCUUGUCAUUUUGGGGUUAUGCUCUAGAAACCGCAGCGUUCACACUAAACAGAGUACCAUCAAAGUCUGUAGAUAAGACACCAUAUGAGAUAUGGACUGGGAAGCGUCCCAGUUUGUCUUUUCUAAAGAUUUGGGGUCGUGAUGCAUUUGUCAAACGACUUCAGUCGGACAAGCUCACUCCCAAGUCGGACAAGUGCAUAUUUGUGGGAUAUCCAAGGGAAACCUUAGGAUAUUACUUCUACAACCGAGAAGAGGGCAAAGUGUUUGUCGCUCGGAACAGUGUCUUCCUUGAGAAAGAGUUUCUCAGUCGGGAGGCAAGUGGGAGGUCGGUGCAACUCGAAGAAGUUCGAGAUGGGCCAGUUGGGGAUAGCUCAGCAAGCAAUGUCCAAGUGACUGAGCCGGUCAGCGUACCCAUGGCCAAUGUAACGCCGAUUCCACGAAGGUUGGAAAGGCUGCGUAACAACGUAAGCAACGUGUUGUUGUUGGACAAUGACGAGCCGACUACUUAUGUAGAAGCGAUGGUGGGUCCAGAGUCUGAGUUGUGGCUUGAGUCCAUGAGAUCCGAAUUAAAGUCCAUGGAUGAAAAUCAAGUUUGGAACUUGGUAGAUCCGCCAGAGGGUGUAAAAACCAUUGAGUGCAAAUGGAUAUUUAAAAGGAAAACUGAUAUCGAUGGAAAUGUUCAAAUCCAUAAAGCUCGAUUUGUCGCAAAGAGUUUUUGACAAGUUCAAGGAGUUGGCUACGACGAGACUUUCACGCCGGUAGCAAUGCUUAAAUCAGUUCGGAUCAUUCUAGCUAUUGCUGCAUAUUUCAAUUACGAGAUAUGGCAGAUGGAUGUCAAGACGGCUUUCCUUAAUGGAAAUUUAACCGAGGACGUGUAUAUGAUAUAGCCCGAGGGUUUUGUCGAUCCAAAGAAUGCCGGAAAAAUAUGCAAACUUCAGAGAUCCAUUUAUGGAUUGAAGCAAGCAUCUCGGAGCUGGAACAUUCGUUUUGAUGAGGUAGUCAAAGGGUUUGGCUUCAUCAAAAAUGAAGAAGAACCUUGUGUAUACAAGAAGUUUAGUGAGAACUCUGUCGUAUUUCUAAUCUUGUAUGUGGAUGACAUAUUAUUGAUUGGAAAUGACAUUCUGAUGCUGGAAGCCGCCAAGGACUCAUUGAAGAAAAGUUUUUCAAUGAAGGACUUGGGAGAAGCGGCUUAUAUUUUGGGAAUCAGGAUCUAUAGAGAUAGAUCAAGAAGGCUUAUUGGUUUAAGCCAGAGUACAUAUGUGGACAAAGUGUUGAAGAGAUUCAACAUGGAUGAGGCAAAGAAAGGGUUCUUGCCCAUGUUGCAUGGUAUAAUUCUAAGCAAGACUCAGUCCUUCGACUUCUGAUGAGCGAACUCGAAUGAGUGCGAUUCCGUAUGCUUCGGCAGUCGAAUCCAUCAUGUACGCCAUGUUAUGUACUCGACUGGAUGCUUCCUAUGCUCUAAGUGUUACGAGCAGGUAUCAAGCUGAUCCCGGUUGAAAAUCACUAGACAACCGUGAAGAAUAUCCUUAAGUACUUGAGAAGGACUAAGGACAUGUUUCUGGUUUAUGGCAGUGAAGAUGAGCUCGUUGUAAAGGGUUACACCGAUGCUAGUUUCCAAACCGACAAGGACGAUUAUCGGUCUCAAUCUGGAUAUGUGUUCAUCUUGAACGGAGGUGCGGUGAGCUGGAAGAGCUCUAAGCAAGAAACGGUGGCCGACUCUACAACAGAAGCCGAGUAUAUCGCGGCCUCGGAAGCUGCGAAAGAAGGCGUUUGGAUCAGAAAGUUUGUUUCUGAGCUUGGAGUGGUUCAGGGCGCGUCCAAUCCCAUGGACCUCUACUAUGACAAUAGUGGUGCUAUCGCACAAGCCAAAGAACCACGCCAUCACCAAAAAUCCAAACAAAUACUCAGGUGUUAUCAUCUCAUACGGGAAUUCGUGGAGAGAGGUGACGUUAAGAUAUGCAAGGUACACACGGAUCUCAAAGCAUGAAGCGCAUGUACGAGCCAUGGGUAUGCGAUACUUUCAUGAUUGACUCUAGUGCAAGUGGGAGACUGUUGGAGAUAUGCCCUAGAGGAAAUCAUGUGAUGAUGUUAUUUGCUAUGUAUUCAUGAGUUAAUGUUAUUGUCCUUGAACAUCAUCACUGAUAUGUAUCAAUAAAUAUGUGAUUUGUUUGUGAGACUAUAUAUUAUAUGACGUUGUUCUAAUGGUCCCUAGUCAUUGAGGUUAUGCGGACACACAACCUAGACUAGCAAUGUGAUUCAGUAUGAUGACUAUGUUUCACAAGUCAUAGGGCAAGGUGUUGCCAACUGAUAGCAUUGGACUCGACAAUGAGAUUGCCGAGUCGGACAAACCCGCACUGAGACACAACGAGAUGAUUGCCAUUUGUUAGUCUCAAGUACGAUGUUUAUGCCAGUUCUAGACCUGAGGUCAUCGCAUGAGUUUUGGAUGUGAAUCGGCUUACUUAGGGGUUACCAAACGCUACUCCGUAACUGGGUAGUUAUAAAGGUAGCUUUCGGGUUUGCUGAGAAGCAUGCUGCAAGUCAUGGUAGUUGAUCAAGAUGGGAUUUGCCCCUCCCUUUGGGAGAGAUAUCUCUGGGCCCUCUCGAGUGAUCAGAUUCGGAAAGCAUGGCCAUGCGACUUGGGUUAAGCGUUAACCCGUUCGGGAAUCUGAAUCACGAGAUCGAGAAGAGAGUCGAGCUAUACACAAAAGGAUGACAAGUACUCGCCUUGAGCUCGACACACAUAUCGUGAGGCAAAAUAAAUGUUGCAUGUGGACACAUUGUAUGGUUCGUCAAUAUACUUUGUGGUUAUUCGGGAGCCAGCACAUGAUGCUAGGCGCCGCUACUGACUAUCGACUUGGGUCGGAACCUGUGUUCGGACUCGUAGUCGUGUCCGUCUGACCGCGAACCUGUAGGGUCGCACACUUAAGGGGAUGGGACCGAAUUGGAUUGGAUCCAACUCGUAUCGGGCUUAGACUCCUAACGGGCCUCAAGUGUUGAAGCCCACCAGGAAGGUCUAUAUAAGUGGAGGAGGCAUACCUGGUUCCCCAACAGGCUCCACGCUGGCCCAGGCCGUCCACCGUGUCCGGACCCGAUCGAGCCCGAGCCGAACCGAACCGGACCGAGCCCAAGCCCUGCAUGUGAUCUGGUAGUGGGGCCUUUCCUUGUUGGUUUCUUCCUUUCUGGAUUAAGCACUGGUUGCCCAUCCUCAACCUCAAUGUCUGAAACAAGUUGAGGUUCUGGGUCAUAAAUGUCUUCAAAAUCUGUGUCCCCCUUGGGUUUGGUCCGGUUCGGUCCGGCUCGGGCUCGGUCGGGUCCGGACAUGGUGGACGACCGGGGCCAGCGUGGAGCCUAUGUGGACCUGACGUGUGGGCCCUCUUGUCAGUUUUCAUGUCAAAACGUGAUCAGAGGCAAAAUCAGUGCGCGGGAGUACAACUAACGGAGAAAGUGGUGGUAAUUUGUCAAAAAUUAAAAAAAAAGGUGGUUUUCCUAGACACGUGCCCCAAAUGUGGUGGUUUUAAGUAAUUUUCUCUAUUCUUUUCUUCAGACUACUUAGCAGUUGGUAUAUGACAUAGCCUGACCUGUGGUAUCCACUACUCACUAUACAAAAUGACAUCAAAUGGUAAAUAUAACUAUGACCAAGAAUUCUGUACGUGAAGAGCAAGUGACACUCUCAAUAGAACAUUACCGAAUAGUGCAAACUUUAACGGUAUUGGUACAACAAGAAAAAAUGUCUUUUAAAAGUUACAUUGUGCAAAGUUUCAGGUGGAGUAGCAAAAAGGAAUGAACAUACCAGUGGCUCAUAAAUAUCGGCAAUGGUUACUGGGUCAAAAGUAUCCAUUCAUCCUCUGACAGAUAUUUGACACUGUACAUAAAGGAAAAAUGAGAAAAUAACUUUGCGCAAACCAAACCUUUGGUUAUAGGCCACAUCGUCAAGAGCAUGAAAAAAAAUUCUGUGAGAAAAUUGGAGGUGUAAGCCCACAACCAACCUUGCGCAGAUCAAUGGUUCUUCCAGAUUUUGUAGUAUUGUGUGACAUAUCGGAUCAUCUGGGAUUAAAACACCCACCUGCCUCCUUUUCACAUACCUAGUAGAUGAACCGUGCUUGAUGCAUUGCUCUGGCAAUUUCUUGGUUGCAAGUAAAAUAAGACACAUAUCAAAUAUUCCCUCUGUCCAACAAAGGAUGUCUCAAGUUUGUCAAAAUUUGGAUGUGCGUAGACAUGACUUAGUGUAUAGAUGCAUUCAAAUUUAGUCAAAGUUGAGACAUCCUAUGUUGGACGGAUAGAGUAUAAGAUUUAUUAUACAACUAACUAAUCAGACAAAUAAUUUGUACCUGCGAAAUCCCUAGUUACUGUCAAAGAAGAGGGAUGCCGUCGCACUGGAAGCGGCUUGGCUGGUGGAGGUGGACUCGCUCGAAGUCCCUCCAUUAGCGGUGACCGGCAGGGGCAGGGGUAGCAGGCGGAGGCCGCCGCCAGCGGCGGCUCGAUAAGGAGGGCAGGGAUGGGGGCGGCGGACGACUGGAUGAGGAUGAGGAGGGCGGGGGCAGGGGCAGCGGGCGGAGGCCGGCGGCGCUCUCCUCGGGCGUCCGUCCUCGGCGGCGGGAACUGGCGCAGGAGGCGCUGCGUCCCAUGGCGGCGUCCAUGGGAACCGGCAGCGCCGCACCCCAUGGCGUCGGCGACGCGCAGGGCGGGAAGGAGCAGGUGGCAUGCGGGCAUCGGGCUGGGUGAGACGCGAAAAAAGAAAAGAGGAGAAAAACGAAAGGAAUUGGCAGCACGGGCCGUGGUACGAACAUGUAAUUUCUCCGAAGUUAAGUAACCGUGAAUUAAAGAGUAAUUGGCAGGGUCAUCGUUGGCGUUCAUCCAAACAGCCCCUUAAUGAGUUGGCAUUUUGGCAGUCCUUCCUUCUGGUAAAAAGAAGACUCCCAACUCGUCGUCUGCUCGGGUUAGAUCCUCCACCAGUCCACCUCCCUGCCGCAGUGAUCGCCGCCGGCCGAUAUGCCAUCCAGCGACCGCUACAUGGUCUGCUCACCGUCGCCAUCCACUGGCCCGCACUCCCCUCACCUUCCCCUCUACGAGCAUGAGCAGUACUUUCCGAUCCCUCACCUCUCCGCCUCUGUUUAUUUAGGAGAUUUCUUGGGUCUAGUACCGCAGGCUAGGGCCUAAUCGGUAGACUGAUACCUCGAAAAUAUAGGAUCUUAGAAUGAUUUUGCGAGAAAUAAUGUGUUUGUUAGUUAGAGUUAAGACCUAAGAUGAAAUUGACACUGUAGUGUGUUCUUUCUGCUGAAGGAUGCUGCUGAUCACGUUUCCAAAUGGGUCUCCCCAGAGAUCUUUUUUCUUUCUAUAUGGUCACGAUUCAAGUAGCGCGUUUUAUUUUCUGAUAAAGACUGGAGCUUUAUGGGGAAUGGUGGCUCAACCGUAGCAAUCGGGUUGGACUUGAACUACUGUCAUGACUCACGCCGUCACGCGUACUCUUUAUGUGUUUAUAAGAGAAUCUCCACCAGCUUACUCAAAUUUGGUUACCUAUAUUUGGUUUUAGGUAUAGGAGAGAGAAGGUUUUCAGCAAAAUUUUGUGCAAUCGGGUUGGACUUGAACUACUGUCAUAACUAAAGGAGGUUGUCAGCUCUUUUGGAUCUUAUGAUUUUUUACGCUUUUCUGCUCAUUGAGGCGUUGGUGGUUGUUUUCGUGUUGAUACGAGGACAAAAUUGUUGGUUUUAGACAAGUUCUUUUGAUGAACUAAUGCAAUGCCUGGUUCCUGUUUUCUUUUGCGGGGAAUUACUAACUUCUUAUCAUUUGUAGGUUGUUAAGUAGUGAAUUGAUCCUUGUGCACAGCUUUCCCCCGUUUUGAGAGUUUUCCACCAUUUUUGUAACUUACAUAACAGGGUUGGUGUGGUUUUGGUGCCAUUGACUGAGUAUUCAGUCCAUUUUGACCUGCCAGUUUUCUGGUGGAUUUGUGAAUGUAGUUGAAAUCGGUUUUAUGUUUUGUUGAAGGACUGUGAUCAUAAUUAAAUCGUAUUGCGGACUGAAAAAACAAUGAACCGAGGCCACUAGGUACUACACUGCGCAAGUUUGAUCAUAAAUUUUAGGAUUCAAAUCAACUGAUCAGAUUGGGUAAAUCCAUUUAAUUCUUUCAAAGCUAACUCUAAGGAAAUUUCACCAUUUUUUAACAAACUUCGCUGGACAAAGAAAGUUUGUUUCCAAUUACCUAUCUAUGUAUAUGCCUAUUGAUAGUUGUUGCCAAUCCAUUUAAUAAACUGGUUUGGUGUGGUUGUCUCACUGUUGCAUUACGCCAAUAAUUGUGACCAGGUCCUUCUUUGCUAAUUUGUGACUGCGUUCAUGACUGAAGAUGAAAUCCGUUGUAUGUUUUGUUGCUGGACUGUGUGAUCUAAACAUAAACGUGGUAGUACCAACUACCAAACCUAAACAUGAUAACUGAAUGCUGGAGGUAAGCAGUAAGUUAUUUCGGGCCAGUUCUUAUCACUUUAUCAGCUUGUAGGUCCCUAGCAGCUGAAGCCAAAAAGAAUUGGAAACUUGAGUUGCUUUUCUGGGCAGUCCAGCUCUGAUUUCCCAUUUGUGGAAAAAAGCUGCCUUGGAGUAGCUUCCCCAGUUCUCAUAUUACCUAUCCAGGACUACCCCAAAUUUACCAUGUUUUUACAGCUAAAAUGCCACUGUGCCUCAGUCCUUGAUGCCCUGACCCCAACCCCUCCCUAGGGUAAUUGUGUGCCGCUGCCUACCACCACGCUCUGCUGCCUCAUGCCACCCUAUGCUGCCGGCCACCCGCUCUGUGUAUGUGUAUCCCAGCAUUGGCUGGCACCUUCCAUCGCGUCCCCUGUUGAGAAUGUAUCUUCGUUUGUGUACUGCCAUAUGCAUAUAUGCACUAUUUGUAUAUAUUAGUAAAAGAAAAUUAUGUUGUAUGUGUAUGCAUGUAUGUAGUAGAAUGUAGGCCGUGAGCAAACAAAUAAACACAUGAUAUUAUCAAUCAAACAGCAAACAAAUAACUCUAGGGGUGUUACACACUUGGCACUAGUCAACACAGACAAUAAACUCAAACUUCUCAGGGUUUUUUUUCCACCAGAGCUCCUGCAGGAAGUUGAGCUAAAGCUCGUUUCUGCACAAGCUGAAGGCGGAAGGAAUUGGCACGUUGGAUAUAUGUUGGUUUAGUUCUUGGGGAGCUGUACCAUUUAUCAAUAUAAAUGAGAAAAAUAUCUUUGGAUUGUUAUAUGUAUGUGCUCAUUGGUUUCUGGUUGUUUUCUUUGUAGGUACAUUACAGAAUUGCUAGCAGAGAGACAAAAGAUUGGGCCUUUUGUGCCAGUUCUCCCAUGCACAGCUCGCUUGUUGAAUCAAGGUAAUGUCUUAACCACAUGUUCACUUGAGGACUUUUUGUCUUCCUGCAAAAGGAAGAGUUAUUUUCUUAAGUGAAAAUUUACUAUGUCUAUGUUGUGCUCCUAUCUUACACAAAGCAAAAGUCGGUUACUUAACUAAGAUGCAAAGAUGUUCCUUUGUUGGUUUCCUGUUUCUCUGAUCUUUCAUGAUACAGUCACACUCCUUACCCGCAAAAAAAAAGAUACAGUCACACUCCAGACAUACUUUACCUAGCUUCUCAAGUCAUGGUUAGAUACAGGAAGAAAACUUUUUUCAAAAUUGUGUUGAGUGUAUGCUUCGGUGUGCUCUGACUGCAAACUGAUUGUAGGCUUUUUGCUUAAUUAGUUACUCAGUCUAUUGAAGACUAGGGUUCAAAUUGUAACUAUUCUACCCAGUGGAUUGAAGUUUCAUGAUAUGAGUUCUUUGCAUAUCUGUUGUUACUUCAAUGUUAUCCAUUUGCAUUUGCAUAUCUUUGCAUUACCUAGCUUCUCAAGUCAUGGUUAGAUACAGAAAGAAAACUUUUUUCAAAAUUGUGUUGAGUGUAUGCUUCGUUGUGCUCUGACUGCGAACUGAUUGUAGGCUUUUUGCUUAAUUAGUUACUCAGUCUAUUGAAGACUAGGGUUCAAAUUGUAACUAUUCUACCCAGUGGAUUGAAGUUUCUGUUGUUACUUCAAUGUUAUCCAUUUGCAUGUGCUGUAAUCAACUUUACACGAUUGUGAAAGAAAAGCUUCCAACUGCGCUAACGAUGUAUAGAGAUAUCUAUGUGUGCAAACAUAUAACAAGACUCCCUAACAUGGUGUAUGGUUAUAUUAUUUAACCAGUUCCUAAUAAUAUGUUGUGAUAACGUUUCUUAUCCUAUACCAAUGAAUACCAUAUGGGUUAAUAUGUUGCUGAAUAAACGUAACGGUUCUUGAUUUGGUAAGGUUAAAGCCUGGGGUGCUUAGAGCUGACUUCUUUUUCGCCAACCUUCUGGCUAGACCUGGAGCUGACACUACACUGGGUAUUUUUUGACGAAUACAUAGCUUGUUUGCCAAUAGUUACUGCUAAUCUUGACCUGAUCUUAUGCUAUGGCUAGUGUCAGGCAAACAAUGCUCUGACUACCUUUAUGUGAUAAUCGUGAUUUCAUGAGGUCAAGUACUGAAGUAAACUUAAAAAAUGCUGUCGAUGCACAAUGCACACAUAUAUUUAAGUCGAUGUUCUGUCCAUGGACUUCUGACUAAUCUGUCUUGAAAUUAUGAUGCUAACUUAUUUUGUACAUGCUUUCAUUUCUAUUCAAAUUUGAGCAGAAAUAUUGCAUGUGUCUGCACUCUUGGGGAUUCAUGUCUUAGAUCAACCUGGGUUUCAACAUGGUAGCCCCCUUUUAAAUGGAGGAGCAUUCUCAAAUGGAAGGCCAGCUGACGUGAAUGGUUGGGCGCCACGAUUUUCGUCAGAAGUAUGAGUACUAACCAAUGACAUAGCUAUCGCUGUUUGUUCUUAGGAAAAUUACAAUAAAUAUCUUGAUGAACAGUUUGAUUUGUCUGCUUUUGACUUCUUGUCUACAUCUCACAGUAGUCAAUACGGUGUAACUUUUCUUAGUUUGUCUGGCCAUAUGAGUUUGUGAAUAGAUGGACAUGAUUAAAAUUAUUUUGUGUUGCAGAAAUUAAUCCUCGUUCCCUCACCUAAGUCAAAUGCUUUAGAUUUGUUGAUUGAUUAACCUCACAAAUACAUAUCUGUCUGUUAUUUUGGGACUUACUCAAGGGUAACAAACAAUUGCUAAUUAUUACUAAUGAUCACUGAUGAUUUCAAUUACUCAAGGGUGUUGCUGUUGUCUGGCCAAAAUAACUGUCUCGCUCCUUCCAGCAUAUUAGAGGAGUAUUUCCCAAAGUUAACUUUGCCCUAUGCUUCCAACCAAACACAGGGAUAAGGUAAAAAGGUGGAUCGCUAUAUCCAAUUCACCCUCAUCCCUCCAACCAAAUGGACUCUUAGGGUUAGAGGAAUACCUACUGGUACUUGACAAUUUGGCCCUUUAUAACCUCAAUUCCAAGCUUUGAUCAAUUAGUUUUAGAUCUGUUUCUUUUGGGGACGGGUGGGUCAUGAGGCUGUACUGGCGGGCUUAAUUUAACUAAGAUGAUGCUGAUCAGGUAACAUUCCAUGGGAGAUUCUCUGAAAAUUUGUUUCACGCUGUAGCAUAAUGUGGUAUAGUCCUUAAUACAAAUAUGCUUCAAGGGACCAUGGCAAAAAAAGAAGUUAAAGCCUAUAUGUAAUUCAAGUACAGUUUUGUCUCGGAUUUGAUUGCAACUUGACAGCAAAAAUUAUACUGAAUGUUGCACCUGGUGAAUUUACAUCGAAUUUAGUUAGAAUCUAGUAAUGCAAUUGGUGAUAACAAGGUUAUUAAAUGGUUUUGCUUCAACCAGUUUAUUCUUGGGCCAUAUUUGUUUUAUGUUGCAGAGGUUAGGCAUAUUUGAUUCCCCACCAUCUGAAAAUGGGCUCAAUGCACAAGGGAACUCCUCAGGUUUCAUUGUGAAGAAAAUGAUGAGAAUGGAUAUUCCUACGAAUAACUAUCCUAAUGUAAGAUGCUGAUACAAUCAUUCUUUCCCCUUUCAGUCAUUUCAGCUGAUCUUUUUCUGAUUGAAAUAUGGGCUUUACAGUUCAACAUCGUUGGUCGACUGCUUGGUCCAAGGGGAAAUUCUCUUAAACGAGUUGAGGCAGCCACCAGCUGUCGUGUCCUAAUCCGAGGCCGUGGUAGCAUAAAGGAUCCUGCUCGGGUAAUGUUUGCAACUUGUCGUGUCUGUUUUCCUGUGUAUCUAUUUGUCCCAUCCUAUUAAAUCAAGUGUUUUCUUGUACUAUGAUGUAUUAAUCGGCAGAAACCCCACCCAAAUCAAAGUGAAACCGCGGUCGUGCACUCGUGGAGCGCUGAGAGCUUGAAUAACUCCUCGGCCUUAGGAGUUGUAUCUUAUACCUAUGUGUUGCUGGCUGGUCUCAGUUUUUCUCAUCUUCUGGUUGAGACAUAAUCUUUGUGCUGAUUUUAACACUACUGCUAUUAGGUGGUGUUUACAUGCCUUCAUGGUCUCUUGCUUUAUCUGUUAAGAUGUGCUUUGGUGCAAUUGCCCUUAGGUUGUUUGAUGUAUGAUUAAAUAGUACUCCCUCCAUAAGAAAAUUUCUCCUGCAAUUCUGAAAAGAAGAGGCUGGACGUGGUGUGUACAAAUGUGACCGUGGGUGCACAGCUGAAUCUUGCGAGUAGCUGAUGAGCUGGUACAGAGAUCGAAGAGCUGCAUGCAGAGGCCGUGCGGUCAUGCAGUGUCUGCUUGAUUACUGUGGCAUUGAAUCAAGCGUUGUGGGAGAUUUAAUAGGAGCAAAGCAAGAAACAGUUUUUCACAUUGGUUUUGGCAAAAAGAAUUAUACACCUUACUUUAGGGAAGCUAUGAGAUAAUUGAUGCCUGAUAUCAUGAACUUGAUAGAGUUUUGCCUGGAACAAGCUAUAGAUCUGCAUGCAUAAGCAAACUUUAAUCAUAAAAUUGUGCGACGUGUGGACUUGUAGGAUAUUAUCAUUUUGGUUAUAUUUCUUGCAAGGAUUCUUCACCGAACUUAUGCAUUAAAAUAGGGCCUCCUUUGGUAUCUUGUCUGGCUAUUUAUUGUUACACUACUGUUUGAUGUUGAAACAACAGUCGUCAGGUUAUCAAUCUCAAACCUUGCAGGAAAACUUUAUGAGAGGGAGACCAGGAUAUGAACACCUUGAUGAGCCUCUCCACCUCGUGAUCAAAGCUGAGCUGCCAGCUGAAAUCAUCGAUGCCCGUCUUAUGCAGACCCAAGAAAUUCUCGACGAUAUGCUGAAACCGGUGGUAUGAUACCAUUGCCUCACUUCAUGUUAAAAGAAAGUUUCAUGUUACUUUCGACCAUGUGGUGGACAUGCGCUGUUCUCAGGAUGACUCACUUGUAUAUUGCGAACUGUUGCCAGGAUGAAACAAUGGAAUUCUUCAAGACGCAGCAGCUUCGCGAGCUUGCUAUGAUCAAUGGCACCCUCAUAGAUGAUGGCUCACAGAAUUCCGGAUCGGUUUCCCCAUUCCGCGGCGACUUGGGCAUGAAGAGGGCCAAGAGGGUUAAUUAGGAACAUGGGCACUUGGUUGUCUUGGUUCACCAUCUUUAUGAGAAUGGGUUUGCACCUGCAAAAGGAAUGUUACUUUACUAGCUCUAAUCUAGGAAGAAGAAUGUGCUCCAUUUUGGUAGACUUGUGUAGCUCAAAGCGUUGGUCGUUUGGAAGUGCAAUGCUUCUGUAUGAAAGAAGGAAAUGAUUGGCAGAAUGGUACUAACGUAAUUUUUGUGUGGCCUUAACACAUAAAUUAUCAGCAAGCUUAUUCUAGAUGUGACAUUGAUAUUUUUGUAUCGGAUUUGUUGCACUCCUAGGAGAAGGAACAUGCCCAGGAAACUCAGGAUUUGGCUUCUUUAUCUGCAUCUAAACUGCUGUCCCUUUUCUAAGGGGGUGUGGCAUCUUUGCCAGCCGCAGGCUGGAAGAAUUUCGGAAGCAGCAAAAGAAGGGAACAUUCAGAAAUGGUAGAGCAAGAUCAGAAUGGCUUCAAGUAAGAAUCCAGCAGCAAAGGAGAUUACCUUGGCUUCAUACAUUUUGUGGAACAGAGAAAUCACAGAAUGUUUGAAGAGAAAUGCCUUCAGCCUAGAAGUAUUCUCAGCUCGUUUGAUUGGAGGGAAUUAGGAAAAGGGAAAGGAAAUUGAAGGGGUAAGUGAUGCUAAAUUAUAUGUUGAGUAAAUGCACUGUAGGUCCUAAAACUAUUCGGGGUGUGUCAAGUGAGUCCUAAUUCUAUGGAAGUGCAUAUUUGAAUCCUAAUUAUUUGUAUGUUGUUCACCUGUGGUCCUAAUCGAGCCCGAGUCACUGCUAACCAGCCAGGUGGCAAGUUGACUGCCACGCUGGCUAACUGCGGGGUCGAUGAAAAGUGCAAAUAGGCCCAACCUUUCCAUACUCAUCCCGCGGUCCUUUCCCCAAUUCUCCCCACCCCGCUUGAAAUUGCAAAAUGGAAAGGUUAGGCCUAUUUACAAUUUCCAGUUAGGCCUAUUUACAAUUUCCAGCGACUCAACAGUUAGUCAGCGUAGCAGUCAACUUGCCACCUGACCGGUCAGCAGCGCGCUCGGGCACGAUUAGAACCACGCGUGAACAACUUACAAAAAAUAAGGGUCCAAAUAUGCACUUUGAUAGAAUUAGGACUCACUUGACACACGUCGAAUAGUUUUAGGACCUACGGUUCAUUUUACUCUUAUAUGUUUGGUUAGAGGGAAUGGGAGUUUAAAAGAGAUUGGGUAUGAGAGUUGAGAGGCCACUCCCGCAAUUUUAAUAACAGGGGAGGGGUGGGAAUCAGGAGGAAAUUGUUUCGUAGGGAUGAUCUUAUCGUUAUUCAUAACUUAUCUUAUCUAUCCUAAACCAAUUCCUCAUAAACUCGUGUCUAAUCUCAUCUAAUCUCCUUUUAAACUCCCAUUGUCCACAUAUUGCCAAACACUGUCUAGGUUGAUUCGGGCGGAGGCAGAUCAUUUUUUAGAAGGCUUUUGCCCGAUAGCCUAGCUAAUGUACAGCUUAGUUACAGGGUGUAAUUUGGAUUUUUUUUUCCUGGUUCUUAUUUUGUACCCUUCUUGUAAACUACUUCUCUCCUUAAUGCAAUAGCAGUGCUCUUGCUUUUCUCAUUAAAAAAAAAUCUGCAUCUUAGGUAAUAUAAUAAACAUGAGUCGGUGAUGGUCGUUUAAGUUGAGGUCAAGCUUUUAAUUUAUAUGCCAGUCGCCCAACAUAUUACAGUAGAUUGCAUAUUUGAAAAUCAUAAUAGUAAAUUUGUCCAAAAAAAACUGCUCCCUCCGAUUCAUAACAAGUGUCUCAGAUUUAAUACAAAUUUAAUACAAUUUUUUUUAAAAACCGAGACACUUAUUAUGGAUCAGAAGGAAAUAUAAUACUCCGUACUAUAAAUUUUUUAAUUUGUCAUCUAAACGUACAUACUUUAUGAAAGCCCCAUAGACCUCAUGUAGGCAGUUUCAUAAAAUGUGUUUAUGUGAUUAGAGGUUAUACCUUUCAUGUGAUUUGUUUAUUUGAGAUCUGAUGGUUAGGAUUGAAAGAUUCAAAAACCCUUCUUUUUUAUCUUUUUCUCAAUGAAAUUGAAAACAACGGUGACGAAUUGAGAAAAUCAGUUUUUGAAUCCAGCUGGAACGAAAUCAAUCAGAUACUUGUGGAAGAGCACUUCUUUUUUUCAGGAAAGUGGGAAGCAUGUUGAACCAUAUAGGUGUUUAAAAUGACAUCUUGAACCAGAGGGUAUUGUGUAACAUCUGGAACAGUGGCUGUGACAUUUCAUCUCACAAUAGCUGUGAGAAUUCAGCAGCUUAGACGUCGUCGUCGUCAGCAGUUGGAUCGCUCCUGGCGCCAAUGAGAUGAUCUGUCCUGAAAUUCCCGGUUGAUCUUAGCUGUGUGUGCAUGUCCAAUUUUUCUCGUUUCUUUCUUCAGAAAGGCAUUUUGAUGCCUCUGGUCCUUUCGUUUCUUGACCGAGCGGCAGAAGAAAACCGAGAUCUCGUGGGAGAGCAUGCUAGAUCCUGUGAGUGCUUACGGCUUAAGCAAGCCAUGUAAUUGACCAAGUUAUUUUUGUUCUUAAACUCCGUAGGGUGCCAUGCGUUUGGAAAUGUAAGACGGAGACGUUUUAACUAUCGUCGACUGACAAGUUCAACAGUAUACACCCUCGGUUCUCAAAAAAAUAUUACUUCCUUCGUUCUGAAAUAAGUGACAUGUAUUUGUAUAGAUUCUUAUACAAAUCCACGUCACUUAUUUCAGAAAUGGAGGGAGUACAUAUUUUAUUUUUAAUGCCUCCAGUGCGUUAAGUUUGACAUAAAAGUAUUUGCAAUAUUUUGUAGGGUAAAUACAAUUCUUAGUUGUACAAUCCAUAUACUUCAUUAUAUAUGCAUGUAUAAUAAUGGGCCCUAUAUUUUGGAAUGGAUGGAUUAUGAAUUAUGUGAUGUACAAGCACCAAUGAUUUGAACAGAAGAUUUUAAAUAGAUAUCAAUUUUUAUGCAACUUGAUUCACAUAAUGUUCAAACUUUUUAUUUCUUUCGAAAAGAAGAUUGAAACCUUCGGCCUCUGUGCACAUAUCCUUUUUCAUUAUAUUAUUCAACAAACCGGACAAAGCGAAAACAUCAAUCAACUCAAAGAAACCUUCCUAGCGACAACAGUCGACAACACAUACAAACUUACUGAGCGGACCACGAUCGGGAUCGUCUGCCCCGACCUCACACCAACGCACAUCAUUUAAAAUGAAGGAGGUGACCAUGAUUAGAGUCAUCUACCCUGACCACAGACGAAUGCACAUCAUUCAAAACUGGAGGCAGAACCGGUGUAGCAAAAUUUUACCGCGCACCGUAUGCACAUGCUCCAGAAGCCGUCACUCACUGUCUUUCACCGACCCAUCUUCAGAACAGGGCUCGAAGCAUUGACCUUGCCAAGCCUACCAUCGACACGACAUCGCCACGACGCCAGACAUCGUCACCUCCCUGCAUGCGUCCAGCAACAAGCAUCCGUCACCAAGACCCUGAUGCAUUGGAGCCGCGGCAAGCAGACGCACACAACCGCCCGAACGCAGAUUGGGCUCCAACGGCUCCUCACUGGGCCCUCAACACGGCGCCGACCGGCCGUGAGCCACAUCGACGAUGGAUCUGACCAGAGCCAGAUCCACGGCCCUCGCCACCAUGGCACCAUCCAUCACUGGAGAAGCUGUUGCUGCCGGCCAUGGAGAUGGACAUCACCUGCAUGUCCAAGGGAGGUUGCCCUGUCCCUGCACGAAGCACAUCACCACGGGAGCCGCCCCAGGCCGUCCUUGAGAACCGCUGCCACAUGCCCACAGCCACCAUGGCCAAAUGCAGUAAAAGUAAAUAAAUAAAACGCGAGAAGUUAACAUUUUUUAGACGAAACGCAACAACGUUGCUUUCAUAUAUUAAGAAAAAAAAAUGUAAUUUACAAAGGAAACCAACAAAGAGAGAAAGAAAUACAACACCUUUACGGAGGGCACAUCCUAUGAAACCAUAUACUAUCAAUUAUCUAAAAGAGACGACUGCUUUACAUCCAGCCAUCUGCCAGGAUCGAAGCUCAUCCAAAGACAAUUCACAAAGAUUAGCAACAAAUAUCUGCUUGGAGUGAAAAACUCUGAGAUUGCGCUCGAGCCAAAUGUGCCACCAUCCCAUCAUGAUAAUGGCGCCCAGAUGAUCACGGCCAAGCUUCUGGGUGCAAUGACUAGCUACCACAUGAGUGGUUGGUUAGCAACCAUACCUGUGUACGUACAGAAGAUGUGAUAUGAGUAGGGCUGAAAACGAGCCGCCCUAGGCCACUGACUUGCUUAGCCGGGGACAGAGAAGAGGCGGCCGCUGCCACCGUCAUCGGAGAUUGGGGCAGGGUGCCGCCAUUGGAAGAUGCGCCGGAGUUGCCGUUGUCAGGUGUAUGGGACUCCGGUGGCUCAUGUAGGCAAGGACAGUCCCCUUGAGGUUUCAUCUAUCUGAAAGAGCAGAUGCGGCUUGGAUCCGGUUGGAGGAGAGGGCGGUGCAGCGGUCUAUCCGGUGAGGAGCCGCUACAAGUCGGUCCCAGACGCCUGUUGAGGUGGUGAUGUUUGCAGCGGUCGGGCAUAGAGGUCAUGGCACUGCAAUUAGCGACUUGUGUUGAGGCGGAUCUGUUGUUGACGAUGCUUCUGAUAAUGAGGCACAUCUGAUAUGGUCAUGCCGCAUGUUACUAUCACCAUUGUUGCUGCUAUGAUGUAUGACAAUGAAGACAUGUUGGGAAAGCGGCAUAGGAUGGUCUCUUUGUUCUCAUGUGGCUCGAGGGCGAUAGGCUAGGAGGGUUUCCUAGCUCGUUGCCAAUUUUGAGUUGUAAUAACUGAGAUUUGUUCUCCAUAUGCGAUUUCCAUAAUAUUAUGGCUACGCGCAUCGAUCGGUGCAUGCAGAGGCCGGGGAAAUGUCCUUCUUUCCGAAAAGAAAAAAAUUGUUUCUUGAAGAGGAAAAAUGAAAACAAGUGAAAACAUGAAAAUACAAACAUGAUUUUGUGAAACAGAAACGGAGGAGGAAUUCUGUUUUCUGAAGCACUUGCGGAAACUGAACUUGGUAUCCAUAUUUUCAGAAUUUUCAUUUAUAGUUCAAUCUAGUUUAGCCAACCCAAAAGUCCAUCCACGUCAACUAGAAAGUAAACCCCCAUCAACGGAUCCUACAUCUUUCAUGUUCCGCGGCGCCGUUGCACCCACUGUCAACGACCACGCAUUUUCACUGGCGAGAAAGCAUUAGUAUUCUUUGUCUGCCACCGUCCUCCCGCCCAUACGAUACGACGCUCUACCCUCUUCUCUUUUUUUGUGUUCUGACAAACAUGCAUUUUCUUCCCCGGAAAUAAAACAUUCACUUUUAUAUCAUGUCCAUAUUUGCCCCAUAUCGGUUCGUGGCAUAAUCUACUUCCGUAUUCAUUUUUGAGAUUUCCGUUUCCAUCUCUACUUUCCUGAAAUAAAACAUAGAAAUAAAUAUAAUAUUCCUUUCGUCUCAAAGUAAUGGUCACAAUUUCAUGUAGUGUGUUGAUCCAUUCAUUUUGAAAAGAAAUUGCAACACUUAUUUCAGGACGGAGGUAUUUCCGCUCCGUUUCAGCCUUGAUGCGACGGCGACUCGUUGGACCUAAUAUACCAGUGCUGGACAGUGGAGAUAGUUUCGACGUGUUCUUUUUUCCGAAAAGAGGAAAAGGAGUUUUGCUCUGCCGUAGGUUUUACUUUGGCCGUGUCAAGAUGAGUGCGCAUCCCACAUUGACCGCCAAGUUACUCCAUGCAGUUUCCAGCCUCUCUUUUUCUUCUCAAGUCGUUGUCUUUCCUUUAUAUGUUCCUCCACGUGGCAUCGUAAAUUUGGCUGUAUGUUUGCCGCACGCCAACUUUCUUAAACGCGUCAAGGACGGCGUUGUGUUGCCACACUCUUGCUUCAUUUUUAUCUCAUAAUCUUGCCACUUGCCAGACGUGUGUCUCGGUUGUUCUGCUGGUCUAAGCUUCCACAGCAAUGUCAAUCCUGCAGACUUCCCAUGAAAUUUCCUAUAUGUGGCCUCCCCGCUCAUGAAAGAGAGUCCAAAACUGGAUCAUGGACCUAGCUCGCUUUACUACUGAAGCAGCUAGUCAGACAGAAGAUUUGUUCUUCUUCCUGGAUUCGGUCGGCAAACGUGCAUCCCUAGUUCGACACCCAUGCGGAAAUAAAUUACAGUACUCCUUUCGGUCAGAAUUAUUCGAAAUAUUACACGUAUCUAAACGUUUUUUAUACAUGGAUAUAUCCGUAUUUGAACAAAUUUGAGACAAGUAAUACCGAUCGGAGGGAGUAUUUUUUUUCAUUGUUCAAGACAUCGGCCAAUUCAGGAAUCGGCCGAUUAAUCGCUGAUCGGCAGACCACCGUGCAGAUUAACACUUAUCGCCGCACUUAAUCACCCAAGCCGAUUAAUCGGUCUGACAACCGAUUAAUCGGGAUUAAUCGGCCUAUUGAUCGGGAUUAAUCCGCGGGCCAGCCCCUGCUUGAAGCCUUGAAGAGCUUCAAUGAUGCCUUUGCUUCCUCCCAUUUUCACUGAUGCCUUUGCUUCUCUUGAUUUGUUUUAGAUGGCUGCAUCUUCCCAAGGUUCUCGUGCGGCAAGUAGCCCAAUAUAUAAUUAUAUAUACUAUAUAGUGUAAUGGUCGACCGAUUAAACCGAUUAAUCGCUAAUCCCUACCCGACCGAGCAGUUACCGAUUACCGAUUUCUUGAACAAUGAUUUUUUUUCGUAAUUUUUUUUUCAGUAUUUUGUUCUAGACUUUGCCUCUGAAAAUCUUUUACCGUGUGCUCUGUUUGUCAAGUGCGGACGUAUGCUUCUGAUCAGAUCUGUCUCGAUUGUGGGAGUCCCUUUUUACACGACCGAGUGAACCAAAGGAAGGAUCCAGGCACCCAGCAUAUAUGCAAUAGCGUCACCUCUGUGUACAUAGCUAGCAAUAUAUAAGGCCGGUCUUGGGCGGCACAACAGCAAAAUGAGCGCUCCACUCUCAACGCGAACGCGAAAUUAAGCAAGCGAGCAGCGUGGGUAAGAAUGAUGACGCUUCCCAUGGCAGCAGCAACCGCCUUCUUCUUCCUCGCCCUCCUCGUGGCCGUGUCAACAGUCCUGGCGGCCAUCGUCGAGCACACAUUUGUUGUGAGUAACAACGAUCGAUUCCCUUUUUAUCCGAGACAACAAACAUGUUUUGUACUCGGUUUUUUGUUUUCUUUUUCUUUGUUUCUUGCUCCGGCAAGAUGUGUUGCCACUCGGGCUUUCUUUUGAGAAUUUAUUCAGACGGGGAUUCUUCCCCUUGUUGAUCUCUCUCUCUAAGAAAACACGUUUUACCACGAGAUUGCAUCAUUGCUAUAUGAGUGUCAUGCUUGUGCAUUAUGUGUAUUUUGUUAAGUGAUCCCAAAGGCAUACAGAAAAGAAUUAACCGAGCACAUGUAAUUAGAAGAAAAAAUUAUGCCAAAAAUAACCGUGUUUUCCUUUUUUUUUCCUUUUCGAAAAAAAAACUACAGGUACGGCAGAUGCAUAUGCAACACUUGUGCAAGGACACGCUGGUGACGGUGGUGAACGGGCAAUUCCCAGGCCCAGCUGUAGAGGCCACGGAAGGGGACACCGUGGUUGUCCACGUCAUCAACCAGUCGCCCUACGGAAUCACGAUCCACUGGCACGGCGUGAAACAGCGGUUAACCUGCUGGGCCGACGGGGCCGGGAUGAUCACGCAGUGCCCGAUCCAGCCCAACACGGCCUUCACGUACCGGUUCACGGUGGCCGGGCAGGAAGGAACCCUGUGGUGGCACGCCCAUGUCGCCAGCCUCCGUGCAACCCUGCACGGCAUCCUCAUCAUCCGCCCAAAGUCCGGCUCCUACCCGUUCCAAAAGCCUCACAUGGAUGUCCCCAUCAUCAUAGGUUCCGAUUCUUUUUUCCUUCUUCUGUUGUCGUCGUCGUUGCUAGAACACGAUGUUUUGAUCAUGUAAUUAAGCUAAUCGAUGCUGCUGCUUGCCAGGUGAAUGGUGGCAGAAGGACCUGACAGAAGUGGAGAAGGGGUACCUGAACAGCAACGACAACGACCCUGCUGCGGCUGCCAUCAACGGGAAGCUUGGAGAUCUCUACAACUGCUCCGGUAUGUAACUAAUCUUGGGAACAAUUUUAAUCUCUGUAGAGAUUGUGGGCAUGUAAUCAGUUCACGAAUCAAACCUAUCUGCACACAUAUAUAUGUAAUGCACGCAGGUGUAGUAGAGAACAGCUACGUUCUGGAAGUGGAGCGGGGAAAGACGUACAUGCUGCGGCUGGUGAACGCCGCGCUCUUCUCCGAGUACUACUACAAGGUCGCCGGCCACAGGUUCACGGUGGUCGGUGUCGACGCCAACUACGUCAAGCCGUACGACACGGACGUCCUCGCGAUCGCGCCGGGCGAGACGAUGGACGUCCUCAUGGUCGCCGACGCGCCGCCGUGCCGGUACAACAUGGUCGCCCUGUCAAUCCAGGCGCCGGCGCCCGACCCGCAGAUCCAGACGUUCGUGUCCAGAGGCCUGGUGCGGUAUAAGAACGUUGCCGUCAACAGGACACGUGUCUGCAGCGAACAAGCUCUGACGCCGAAGAUGCCCGACCGCCACGACACGGCCACGACAUUCUUCUUCCACGGCAACCUCACCGGCAGCCUGCCGCCCGGUCAUCAAUCAUUGUUGAGGCAAGUCCGAGACCGUGUCGACGAGCGGCUGUUCAUCACGCUUGGCCAGGGCUCCAUCUGCAAAGGGGGAAACCAAGAGGGAUCGUGCAAGAGAGGAGGGAGCAACGAGUCCAUGCUAGUGGCGUACAUGAAUAACGUGUCCUUCCACCUCUCGGAGAAGACGGUGUCGUUGCUCGAAGCACGGUGGCACCGCCGGAACACGACGACGAUAAACGUGACGGUGGAGGAGCUGCCCGGAAGGCCGGCGAGGGUGUUCAACUUCACGGACCUGGCGCUGAUCCCGCUGAUCCCCGGUGGGAAGGGGGAAGAGCUCGAGCCGACGCGGAAGGCGACGACGGUGCGGCGGUUCGCGCACAACGCCACCGUGGAGGUGGUCUUCCAGAGCACGGCGGCAUUGCAGAGCGACUCCAACCCGAUGCACGUCCAUGGCCACGACUUCUUCGUGCUUGCGCAGGGCAAGGGCAACUACGACGCGGCUAGGGACGUCGGAAGGUAUAACCUGGUGGACCCGCCGAUGAAGAACACGGUGCAGGUGCCAAGGCUUGGGUGGGCAGCCAUACGCUUCGUCGCCGACAAUCCAGGGAUGUGGUUCAUGCAUUGCCACUUCGAGUACCACAUCGCCACGGGCAUGGCCACGGUGUUCCAAGUGGACGACGGGCCCACACUGGACACCACUCUUCCACCCCCGCCUUUGGAUCUACCAAAGUGCUCACAUAUCAAGGAAUAAGCUAGCCUAAAAAAAAGCUAGCCAGGGUUAUAUAGAAUAACUCUGGAAUUUGCGAGGCGAGUAUAUGUGUUUUUUUAUGGGUUCAACGUUUCGUUUUGUUAUUAACAUUUUUGAAUUGUGGAAAUAAUUUCAUAGACAACGCUGAAAUGCACUUUGAGCUUUUACACAAUCCAAGUGAAACCGCUAAAACUUAACCCAAAUAUUACAAAAUAUGCCACUGAGAACAAAGAUAUCAGAACACAAGAGCAUGUCCAAGAGAAUAGUCAAAUUUGAGUAGUCAUAUCAGGAAGUUUUGACCAUUCAAACUUGAGUGGCAUCUCUCCAAAUGGCACAUCAUUAUUUCACCCUCAGUAUUUCACUAGCCAAAUUUCAACUAGUUUCUUUUGGAGUACAAUAGCUAAAUACGGAGUAUAGAGGAAUUGAGAGAAUAAUAUGAAGGUUCUACAAAUAUGGAGAUCUCAAUGGCUACACCGUGGGAGACGGGUUUCUUUUUUCUGCCCAGUGAUAGCCAUCUCCAGGAUAGAGGGUGAGAUAGCUACUCUUUUGGACAAACAAAAUUAGAAAACUUAAACAUUUGAAGCAUAGCAUUGAUACCCCCACUCAUACUAUCAUCUCUAACAUGCAGUGACGAAAGAAUCCAACAAAGUUGUGCAAAACAUAUGCAUCGACUUGCUUUUCAAGUCACUUGCCCUUCUGUCCGACUUGACCACUUGUCCUCCUGUCCGAGGAUGAAGAUAUCGUGCAAAACUCACGGCCAGGAAAUGCUUCACCAGGGCAUCAAGCCAACCGUCCGAGCCACGGGGACGCCAUGUGGUUCAGGUGUCCGCCUUGAUUCCUUAAUUGUUUCAUCUAUAUAUAUUUCCGAAGUGUUCUGGCUUCCACUGCCAGGAGGGAGAAAAAACAGAACAAGACUAGUGACGUUGCUAAAAUGUAGGUUACUUGCAUAGGUCUGGCGUGUCUCGGAUGUUUGUUUGAACCACAUGGUAAUUGAUUUAUGCAGCCAACGAGAAAUGUUUCUCUCUAGAAAUUUGAGUUAAAAAGUCAAUCUUGGAUUGGGGCGCCUAAUUAAUACGUUGACUCGAACCAUGUAGCAGUUGAUCCAGGCAACAAACUAGAAAUGUCUAUUUCAGGACAGCGUGUUUCCAAAUAUUCGUUGUCGGGUAAUGCUGAAAAAUAGAGGCAAGAUCUAAAGAUCGAAAUUUGCAGAUCCAUGCAACGUGCAAAACGCUGGCUAGUUUUUGUGGACUUUACACGAAACUAUAUCUAUGGAAAUUAUAAGUUAUUUUCUGUCGUUUGGCACCCAUCAUUUGGGUCUAAAAUUCUGGAAUUCAUUUCGAAUUUCAGAAACCAACUUAUUUAGGUGGCAUGGAAUUGACCACAUGAAUUCAAUCUCAAAUUUCAUGUAAUCACACUAUAACUAACUUCAAUUACUUUCUAAAAACCAUAAUUUCUCUGAAAUUGUCUCUCACUCUACAAAUUCAUGUGGUAGACAAGAUUUUUGAACCUGAAAUUCAAAUUCAACCAAAUAAAUUUUUUAUAAAAAAAUUAAAUUUUAUUUUAUUUUUACCAAAUGAAAUGAAAGGAUGGAUGCCAGACGAGCUAUAGAGAGUACAAAGAUGAUGGCGCAAUUACCAAGAAAACCAGAUGUGUGAAGGCACCUUGCUUAGCAAUAACCGUACAUUGUUUAAUUUGGUUACGUGUUAAACACAUGUCCGUUUGCUUCCUAGCUACUAUCGUCCCAAAAAUGCUUUAUGGCCUGUAUUUCCUUGGAGUGUACUACAACCACCUUCGCCAUGUUGAGCCGCGCAGUACGACCGUCUCAAACCGCAUGUAGUUUUGCAUGAGAACAGAACACUUGUUAAUUUCGGCACGUCAUGGAACGGGCUACGUACACUUGUUUAAAAAGGCUAAAAAGCUUUUGCCAGUAAAGGCACGGCACAGGCACAGCCUUUUGGCAACAAGACAUUGAGCAAGAGAAAAACUUUACAGCCAAAGGGGUUGUUGUACCGCAAACCGCAAACUGAUUUUGUCACGCCAAGGCGUGAGUUCAUUUGGACGUACGUACAUUGCUUGGCCUAUAAAAUCAGGAGGAGAAGAGUUUGCAUAACCAUCAUUCAUCGCUCCGAACCGAAGUGAGCCCGCAGAGCCAGCCAGAAAAUAUCAAGAAUAUUCCAUUGUUUGCAAUCAACCAUGGAUGUGCCUUUGGCAUCCAAAGCCUUCCCCUCCCCUGCCUCCAAUUCCAAGGCCGAAAAACCCGCCGUUGAUGGUCCGAAGCGCUUAUCGAAGCCAGCAGAUCUCAAUCCCAAUGCUAAUGAUGUAAGCGGCUACUAUACUUAAUCAUGCUUUCCUUUUUCCUUCCUAAGCUUCGAUUUCAAUUAUAAUACUCCGUAUUAUAUUUACAGAAUUCCUUGGCAGAGUGCAUCAUCUAGCAUAACAAUAAUCAACUGGGAUUCCUUUUUUUGUGUGCCAUGCAAUCAUCAAAUCAAAUUAACAUAAACUUUUCCUUUUUGCCGCAAAAUCAUUUGAGAUCGAGUGAGGAGUGUAAGACUGCCAGAAGCCAGAACCAUCAUGGCUGUGUGCCUGCUCAGUUAUGUGAAAAGAUCAGAAGUUGAUGAGUUAACGCCUUUGUCUGAACGAAAACGUCCAAAGCCAUCAGGGCCACGUCCUCCCCCAAAGGAGAUCAUUCCAAAAGAGCCACCUGCUCAUUGCAGACACCCACACUCUCUUUCUCUUCCAAAAAUAAAGGGCAAAGAAAGGGAAAUGGAAAGAAGAUCUCCGGAAAGAUGAGUUAAAUUUACACAGCCACACGAGGCUGCGCCACUCACUCAGUGGCAGACUAUCUCUAUUCUCUCCCCUCUCUGAUCUCUCUCGCCACGGACACGGAGACCCCGUGAACCGAGCUCGCCAUCCACCGCCCCAAUGGCGAUGGCCGCGGCCGGUUCCCCUUCCAAGACCCUGAUCCCCCCGCACCGCGCCUCCGCAGCGCCCGCUUCCACCUCCUGCGACUCCCUCCGCCUCCUCCUGCACCGCGCGCCGCGGGGCAGCAGCAGGCGCACGCCGCUCGGGGUGGCUUCGUCGUCCCCGGCUCCGGCGCGGCGCCCGUUCGUCUUCUCCCCGCGCGCCGUGUCCGACUCCAAGAGCUCCCAGACCUGCCUCGACCCCGACGCUAGCACGGUACGCACGCGCCAAACGCCGACACGCCUCGCGCCAGGAGUGGGAAAUGCGGCGCUUUACGCUCGCUAGCCUGAUCCCGUGAUCCGUUGUGUCCUUGCCUUUCCUGAUGAGAGUCUGAUACGCGCGGGAAAAAUAUUGCUAUCUCCUUUACCGAUUCGUCGGUGAUUAGACGCCCAAAUGUGCCUUCUGUUUUCAUGUCGGCAAUUAAAAGGAAUGAGAACGGGACAUGAAUCAUUUGGACGUUUUCAUGGUUUCGGCUUUUCUUUUUGUACUAGGAUCCAAUAAAUAUGGAAAUUGCAGGGUGUGAAUAGUUUAGAGCCUCAUUUAAUAAUUAGCUGUGGCUGUGAUUGUGUGAGCCCGGAAGAAAAUGAUUAAGAACUUGUCAUGGUCCAUCAGUCCAUGCCAUGCGGCUCUUAAACACUACCGGGCAAUCAGAUCGAAGACUUGAAUCAUACUUUCUCAUUUACUCAAUUUUUUUCCUUAAACUGUUUUAGUUGUUGGUUUUUGAUUCAUGGUUUGCAAUGAUCCAUAUCAUGGCUAUUGAAUGUUCUUUGUUACUUAAUCAUUCUGUGGUUUCAUAUGCUGUUCCUUUCUCGAGAGUGCCUAACUUAAAAUUCAGAACUGUCUUCUUCCUUUGCUCUACUCAUUAUUUGUCGCACUAACUCCGCUAUAAGCUAUUGAUGUGCUUCUUUUGUUUGUGCAGAGUGUUCUUGGGAUCAUUCUUGGAGGUGGUGCGGGAACUAGACUGUAUCCCUUGACAAAGAAGCGUGCCAAGCCGGCAGUGCCAUUGGGUGCCAACUACAGGCUUAUUGAUAUUCCUGUCAGCAACUGUCUGAACAGCAACAUAUCAAAGAUCUAUGUGCUGACACAGUUCAACUCCGCUUCUCUUAAUCGUCACCUUUCACGAGCUUACGGGAGCAACAUUGGAGGGUAUAAGAACGAAGGAUUUGUUGAAGUUCUUGCCGCACAGCAGAGCCCAGAUAAUCCUAACUGGUUUCAGGUAUCUCGAUCAAUGUUACUUUUUGUUUUAUCAAUCAUGAAAAUUGGCAUUCAUCUACCUGUGGACAUCUGGGUUAUAUUAUUCGCUUCAAAGCCCUUACGAUAAUAAGAAGAAUACAAUUAAAUUUAUGUAGUACUCCCUCCGAUCCUAAACAACGACAAGAAUUUAGGAUCAGAGGGAGUAGUGUUCAUUCUUCAAUAUAGUAGUUCCCAUUUAUUUCCUUUUAAUUUCAUUGUCUCAUGUUGGCAUUUAAAACAGGGCCAAUUUAUAAUUCCUAUGUAAAAUUACUCGUGAUCAUAUUCUCUUGUCACUGUGGAUGAAUGUCAGGGCCAACCUUCCAUGAAUUACGUAGAGUAUAGAAAAUACAGGCAAUUGACAUGAGCACAUAAGCAAAUUGUCACGGACCUGUCCAAUUUUAUAUAGCUAACUUUGCUAGAGAAUAUGUUCACAAGUUAAGUCCAACUCUUUGCACCAGAAUUUUACAGUAAUGAUCUGUAAAAAUAAUAUAUUUGACUUUAUACUGCACAUUCAAAUCUGUAUUUUAUUUGUUCCGGAUUGUACUGUUGUACCCUAAUCUAAUACAUGGCAUUCCAGUUGGUUACUAAAAAUGAUCACAAAGUGUUUAUCAAAUCCAUGCUCAUCUGCAUUAAGUGUUGCUAGGAUUCCUUGCUAGGUUUUGUAGAGUAUUAAUUUUCGUUCAUCUUAUCUCAGGGUACUGCAGAUGCUGUAAGGCAGUACUUGUGGCUAUUUGAGGAGCAUAAUGUUAUGGAGUAUCUAAUUCUUGCGGGAGAUCACCUGUACCGGAUGGACUAUGAAAAGUUUAUUCAGGCACACAGAGAAACAGAUGCUGAUAUUACUGUUGCUGCCCUACCGAUGGAUGAGGAACGUGCAACUGCAUUUGGUCUUAUGAAAAUCGAUGAAGAAGGGAGGAUAAUUGAAUUCGCAGAGAAACCUAAAGGAGAACAGUUGAAAGCAAUGAUGGUAUGCAUUGUUAACUAUGCCUUUCUAGCUAAUUUCAACAUACAGUUGUCAGAUAUCAUUUUUUUUGAAGUUAAACUGUAAGAGCUACACGAUUGUAGUCCGACAGUAUAUAGAUAUAUAAUUUUACAAAGUGAGGCACCAAAGUGUGACCUUCGAGGAUCGAACUCUGGUGGGCUGCCAGCAUUUUUUUUCCUCGCUGGCUGACCACCCAAGCUAUGCUUGGUUCUCCAGCUAUCAUUUAUUACACCAGUAAAUUUCUAUAAAAUGCUGUUUUGUCUUACAGGUUGACACAACUAUACUUGGCCUUGAUGAUGUGAGGGCAAAAGAAAUGCCUUAUAUCGCUAGCAUGGGUAUCUACGUUAUUAGCAAACAUGUAAUGCUUCAGCUUCUCCGUGAACAAUUUCCUGGAGCUAAUGACUUUGGAAGUGAGGUUAUUCCUGGUGCCACAAGUACUGGAAUGAGGGUAUGCAAAGCUCAUUGAGUUACUAGUUUGUUUUCUUUAGUUAUUGCUUUUUAUCAUUUGAACUUACAAAAUAUCAAGCCAUACAUAUAUUUCUUCGACACAUCGAUACAAUAAUAAUUUACCAUAUGAGCACGUCCAUUGGCAUGGAUAUUUGCAAUAUAUGCUGCUUAAGAGUCGUAUUGUUGUCUGCAGGUACAAGCUUACUUAUAUGAUGGCUACUGGGAAGAUAUUGGUACAAUUGAGGCAUUCUAUAAUGCAAAUUUGGGAAUUACCAAAAAGCCAAUUCCGGAUUUCAGGUAUGCUUUCGCAUUUCACCUUGCCGUGGCAGAAGAUUAUGAAACUGAAUGCAUGCAAAGUGUUAGAAUUAGAGUUACCCUCUGUUCUCUUUAAUGUAUACCUUGAAUAUUGUUGCAGUUUCUAUGACCGUUCUGCUCCAAUUUACACACAGCCUCGACACUUGCCUCCUUCAAAGGUUCUUGAUGCUGACGUGACUGACAGUGUCAUCGGCGAAGGGUGUGUUAUUAAAGUAAGUAGCCUUUUGGUGGCUAUCCGGAACUCUUAUUGAGUACAUAGUGUCUCGUCUCAUCGUAACAAAUUUAACAACCCCGCUGCACAAACAUGUUUCCUAACCUUCUAUACUCCUUUAUGUGCUAUGAUUUUUAUAUAUCUUCUAAAGUAUUUUUUUCAUGCUGUAAUAACUAAUAAAAGCUCCUAAGUUCGCUCUGCCUUGCCUUUUCAUCUGUGUAGAACUGCAAGAUACACCAUUCAGUAGUUGGACUCCGGUCCUGCAUAUCUGAAGGUGCAAUAAUAGAGGACACAUUACUCAUGGGUGCUGACUACUAUGAGGUAAAUUAAGUACUGGUGUUAGAUGCUGCUGGUAGCGCAAUGGGAGAACUAAUCCAUCGGUUUUAUGUUGGCCAGACUGAAGCUGACAAGCAACUGCUUGCUGAAAAAGGUGGGAUUCCCAUUGGUAUUGGAAAGAACUCACACAUCAAAAGAGCAAUCAUUGACAAGAAUGCUCGUAUUGGAGACAAUGUGAAGGUAUUCCAAAUACAUACAGAGUUAUGGUUAUGGCUAAGCAUGUAUACUUUUGUAUUUUAUUUUAUUUUUGUGACAAAUUAUAAUACUGGGAAUGCAAUUGGAAAUUAAAUGGUGAUCCAGAUUCCAUUCUCUGCGUUUUAGCCCACCACAUUACAAUGAUUGCAUAUCCAUUUCCAGGAAACAUGAUACUCCACAUUGUUUUAGGAUCUUUCUUAAGUUGCUCGUUGGUAUUGUAGAUAAUCAAUGUCGAUAAUGUUCAAGAAGCCGCAAGGGAGACAGAUGGAUACUUCAUCAAAAGUGGCAUCGUUACCGUGAUUAAGGAUGCUUUGCUCCCUAGUGGAACAGUCAUAUGAAGUAAGUUUUCUUCUCCUAAACUACGUUGAAUAAAAAAGCCUUGCUUCAGAAAAUAGGAACAUAUAGUAAAUCAUAUAGGCCAGAUGCAGCAAAUUAGCUGGAACUUGGAAGCCAUAAACUUAAUACACUUGACAUUCACUUGGAUUGUAACACACAUUUCCUUGUUAGUUGACUCUGUUCGGGUUGCCCUGCAGGAUGAUGCGCAGUAUGUAACCGGGCACUGGGUUAGCUGGAAUCAACCGAUGAGCUCGCGAGGAGACCAUAAGAGCAAUAAAAAGGAGUGCCAUGCAAGGCACCUUCCCCUCCUUUUUUUUCUCCUUUGAUGUAUUAGGAUCUGUAAUGUACAAGUAACUUCCCUUCAGAUGUUGUGGAAAUCGGAAAUACCUGCUUAAAUUUUGGAUGUUUCGAUGUGGAACAAAAGGCGUAAACAACUUGCUAUGCCGCUGUUUUUCUAGAGGAUAUGUUAUGCGGUUUUUGUUCGUCAACACCUAAAUUUAGAUCACCUAAGAAAGGUGAGCAUUAAGGUCAGUAUACGAAAAGUACAUGGAAGAAAGCUGUUAGAUCUGCGAACAAAAUUAUAAUAAGCACCUCAUGAAGGUUGCAGUCAUUUUUGUUAAGUGCUACAGUGAAGAAAAAUCGGAACAAUUCAAAGAUGUGCUCAGAAACUUAGAGGUGCAUUGAUACAGACGCAUGAAAACUUUACUUCACAAUGAAUACAUAUGUGGUGUUCAAAGAAAUUCAUGCUCCAGAGCACUUACACACACAUGUAAACAGCUCGAGACAUUUUUCUUCUUUUUAAUGCGCAGGCCUCAAGAUUGGCUGGAAAAGGGAACAUAAAUCAGGAUUAUUCCUAGCAAAAUAUGGUUUAGCAAAAGUAAACUCUAAACAUGAAGAAACAUGGUGAAAACAGAGUGAAUUUACCAUUAAUCACUCAGCUAGAAGCCUAGAAGUAGAAGCAGUAGCCCUCAAAUUCCAACAACCUUUUCUAGCUUCCGUUUUACCAAUCUCUCCUCUUUUUUUACACUCAAAAACAAUAAAACCUAUGAAGUACUACCUACAUUCCUUAAAUUAGGGCGUAUAUUGUUUUCUUUGACCGAGCCUUUGAUCAACGAUUACUCCAUCCUCGUGUCACUAUGUGAUACAAAUCAUAACCAUAACCGAGUACUUCUGAAUACGAAUGUAAUGAUAUCAAUUUUAUUCACAAAAAUAUAUAUUAAUAGACUAAUUCUUGAUCAAAAGCUUGUUCAAAGGAAACAAUAUACGCCUAAUUUAAGGAAUGGAGGGAGUAUGUGACAAAAUGAUGAAAACAGAAAAACUUUUUUAUAAAAAAGAACAUGGUUGAAUUAAUGAGAUGGCAUGGUUUGAAUUGAUAAAUUAAUGCAAAUAUAUAAAUAAAUACAUGAUGACUUGAAAAAAGACAUGCAUGACUUGAUGAGGUGUCAUUGUUUGUGUGCCAAUGUGGUGGGCCUGCUUGCAUGUUGAAAGAAAUAGGUAGUUGGGGGAUUAAAAACAAAUAAUAAAACCUAAGAAGUAUGUGAAAAAACCCUCUGAUCCAAAUUGAUUUAUCACAGCUUUGACUAGAUACACAUGUACCUACACACCGAAACACGUCUAGAUACAUGUGUAUUUAGACAAAGCUGCAGCAAUUAAUUUGGAUCGGAGUUAUAAAAUAGAAAAAAGUCCAGGAAAAAAAAGACAUGAUUGAAUUGAUGAGAUGGUAGGGUUUGAAUUGAUAGAUUAAUGAAAAAAUAUAAAUGAAUAUAUACAUACAUGGCUUGAAAAAAAGAUAUGCAUGACUUGAUGAGGUAGCUUACCACGACAAUGUCAUGGGCCUGCUAAGAUGGCAUAUUUGCAUGUUCAGAAAAAUAGGUAGUACAAAUAGGCCAUUAACCGAGUUUUUGGGUCCACCGAGUUGGCUGCUUGGUUAAUGGCACUCACAUAAGGUAGACGCUAGCUCCUGGGGUGAAGCACGAAAGAAUUACACUUUUGCUAAAUGUCAGCUAGCCGGUUUGUCAUUCAUAUGACAGGAAACUAAUUAUCAACAAAAAAAAAUCUGUAAAAAGAUCAGCUAGCUGAUAAUUGUUCCUUCCCAUUUUCGCUUUUGCUAUAUUUUUCUGUUAAAAUUGACCGACUUAUAGAAAUGCGAAAGAUAUUUUUUUUUUAGGGAAAAGACAGUAGAUCAAAAGAUCUACUGCCAUAAAUUAAAAGUAAAAUGUAUGUACAAAGGCAAUAGCCUCAAAGAAGCUAUCUAAAAGUUGAGAUCCAAUUCUCAAAAUUUACAUAUUUCUUUCUCUUAGAUUUAUGAAAGACAAGAUUAAGUUCCUCCUUGAAAAGCCUUCUGCAUCGAUAGAAGCUAGGAAUUAUAUUGUUGAAGACGAAGUCAUUUCAGGUUUUCCAGAUACUCCAUGUGCACAGGACCAUAAUUUCAACAUGGAAAGGGAUCCUGAGUUAUUCUUCGAGACGAAUCACAUUAGCAUGCACAUUGUGCUUGGCAGAGAAAGUAGGGCAGAUGUAUUCCCAGCAAGUCUUGGCAAAUUUGCAGGGAAAGAAAAGAUGAUAUCUGGUUUUUCAGCACAUUAUCAUCACACGUGAUGCAGUUAUGGGAACAUGGAAUUGACUCUUUUGUAGCAUGCCUCUAGUGUUGAGUCUAUCAAUGAGCAGGAGGCAGAAGAAAAAUUUGUGCAUCAGCUGAGCAGCUUUCCCACAUCCAUUUAAUGGAGUUUGGAAUGUCAAGGUGGUUGAUCUGAGCUUGAUAUACUUGAGUAGGUAUGAACACCUCUUUGUUCCAUAUAUAUGACCAAACAUCUUUGAUCUGGGUAGGGGUUGAGUUAGUGGCAAAAGCUCUUGCAUCAAGUGAAAGAGACAGUCAAAUCCUCAGUACGAAAGACCCUCUGGGAUGAAACAUUCUGGUCGUUGACAAAUGAAAAGAGCUGUGGCCAUUGAGUGUCAAGUGAACUAGUGGAUACCCCGCGCGUUGCGUUGGAUGCUAUAGUAAAAUCAUUCAUGAUAUUUAUUUGAUGCACUUGGCAUGACCGUGUGAAAGAGACCCACAGAAUACCGAUGCAAAAUGGACAAACAGAUGCAAUGCACAGCUAAAUUUUUUAAGAACAAUCCAAUGUACAACUCUUAGAUGUUCCAGCUGCACUUUUUUUUCAAAUAAAUAAAUUAUAAACUAAACUAUCAUUCAAACCUAAUGCCAGUGUCGAUCCACAUCAAAAUGGUAUCCAUCUUGACUUCCAAGAGCAAACAAUAAUGUACUAAAAAAAUGGAACCACUUUUAUUUUACUACUGCCGGAACAGUAACCAUCGGUUGGCUUUUCAUAUUCUUUGCAUAAUUAUUUAGUGCUCGUGUUAUUUCUCAGAGAAUAAUGCAUUUGAAAAAUCAUCAGGGAUGAGGAAAAUGGAAGCCAAGCUUGCAAAUAUUUAAUGCAUGUUUGUGGGGAUGAACUUUAUACCCUCCGUCCCAAAAUAAGUGAUGUGAAUCUGUAUAGAUUCUUAUACAAAUCGACGUCACUUAUUUUUGGAUGGAGGGUGUAGAUAUUAUAGAUUCCGGCGCGUUGCCGUGGAAAACUAUUUACACACUAAAUAUAUAUAGUUAAAGUUACUGACCCAUGUUUUCAAAAGCCAAAACCUAUGUUUUUUAAUGAUCCAAAGAACCUAAGCGAAACAGGUUUAUUAUCUCGGUUUUUCUUAUCUCGGUUAACCAUAAAGAUCAACAAACCGAGUCAAAAUGAGUAGCAAAAAAAAAAGGUCCAGCUAGCCCAGCCCACUACGCUCGUGGCCUCUCUCAUGAUCUCAUCCCGUUUCCUCGUUUCUAUCGACAGAAAUCGAGCUCUCGCAUAUCUCCUAGGAAUCUCUCUCCCCAAGUCCCGCAGUCGCUUCCAAAAGAAAAGAGAAAAAUCCCACAAGCUCUACCUAAAUCCAGAUCACCGCCACCUCCUUUGCUUCUCCAUGACUCCGCCUCGGCGGGCUUCCGGCGGCCGACGGUCUCCUCUUGGGCGUCCUGCUCCCCCCGUCUUCUUCAAGGAGUGACGGUCGACGACCGCCUCUUCAGACUGCCGAGCGUCCUGCGUCGUGGCCUCCUCUUCUUCCUUCCCGCAAGGGCCUGCACGUCGUCGGUGCGGGCAGCAGCGCGUCUGGGCGGAGAGGCCGGAGGAGCCGUACGGGGUCCAGCGCGCCGACCUCGCGAUCUCGCGCUCGCUCCGGAACGCCUCCGUCCACCGCCGACCGUUGCGCCUUCUCAUCGUCGGCCCUCUUCCGGGUGAAGUCGAGGAUGCAACGUCGAGCUCCUUCUUUUAAAGGGGCAAGUUGGCUGCUCAACUACUUGAUUCCUGGAAUUCCUCCUUCGGUUUCAUGAGCAUUAAUGUGUAGUGGAGGGAGAUGAAUGGGGCUUAGGAAGUGGAUGGGUUAUGUGCGUUAAUUUCUGUUGAUGUUUCAGAAUCUGAACGUGUGUUAAUUGGUGCUACCCGGCGCUAUUUGUUCAGAGAAAUUAUCUAGCGGGGAUGCAGAAGGAGACGACGUGAAUUAACUGCACUCAGUAGGCUUCAACUUUAUAGAGUUUAUAGAUUGCCUUCCGUAUUGUCUUUCCAGAAGAGCACAGUGUCUCCCGGUUCUGACUAAAAAUAGCCAGCUGUUUGAAGUUUUCAAGAAAUUUUAAAAUGUCAUUCCAUCAGAAUGAAGCGUUGACUCGGCAAGAGGGUGGUAGACCUGCUAAAUAAUGCUAACCCCGAUCUAGUUGACCCAGUGAAUGUCAUGUUUGUUAUAGAACUUGUGCAAGUUUUGUAGAAGAAGCGUUUUCUUCUGAAAAUUCAGGUUCUAACUCCCAAUCCACCCUCUUUGUUAGGUCUACGAACCAUUUCCCAUGCUAUCAAGGGAGGGUUUUAUUGGUACCUCCAUAUGAGAGCACAUUUAAGAAGCAAGUA